UAGUGAUUCUAUUGCCUAGCCAGAGCUAGAUUUCCUUCUUUUUCAAGUUUGUGUGUGGUUUUGAGAAUCAACUCAUAAACAACUUGUAUUUGGAAAAGUAUGAGGAGUUGCAAGUUAAAGUAAUUUCAACGAUCUUGAAUUGUCUUAUUAACUGAUCGGAUUUAGUCUUCUUCUGAUUGUUUGUUUAUUUGAAGGGAUUCUAAUUGAUUUUGGGAACUCAAUUGUUUUGCGAUUUUCUUACUGGUUAAAAUGUUUGGGAUUUACAGAUCGACAUCAACUCAAUACAACCAGUGGCGCCGGCUGACCCUCACGUGGUCGGGAUCGGACAAUUUGUAGUGGAAAAAUUUCACCACGGCAAGCUGCAUUUCAUCGCCGUGAUUGGCGGAUUCACUUGGAAUUGUGAAGGAGGCAAGUACUACGCACUUAUCAUUCAAAAUCAGGAUUAUGAGGGCGCCACAUUUAUCCAUAAAGCACUCGUUGUUGAGGCCAAAGGUGAAACGAAACUCCUCUGGCACAGGAAUUAAUCAAGCACUACUAUUGAUCAGCUGAGGAUAAAGGACUUUCUUUGGGUACUUAAAUUAUCUAGUGUCUAUGGUGUGGGUUUUCAGUUUAUGCAUGGAUGAUGUACUGCUGCCAUGCAGACAUCUUUCCACUGUUGUACUAGUAUGUUAAAUAAGGUGCACUUAUACCAACAAAAUGCACCAUUCCGUCUAUUUUUUUAAUUUGUAUCCUUGUAAUAACAUGCAAAAGAUGCACUUUUACGAACAAAAAUGUACCAUUAAAUGAAUAAAAACAAUCGUCUGUUUUUGAGUUUUAUCUGUAUAUUUUGUUUCUAUGUUACUUCCAAGCAAGUUCCGAUCCCUGAAUUUGUAUGUCAACUACGUACUAUGGUCUUGUUAGAUAUUUGGGUUGUCCUCCUAAAUCUGCUUUUAAUAUGAUAGAAUCUAUUUGUGGUAGAUUUUUUGUGGGGUUCCUCGGAGGAGCAAAGGAACACGCCAGUUUCUAACUCGGAAUGGUCCUAGCUAGUUCAUUGAUCCAGCUCCCAGAGUAGAGCUGUCUGGUCCUGCCAUCACCAAACUAAGAACAUGUUUCCUUGAAACGCCCAUAGAGAAUGCUUUCUAGGAUCAACCAAAAAUGAUAAUAAUAACAGUAAAUGUACCUCCAUUUAGCCAUAAAACACGAGGCUUGUUAGAAGGAUUUUCGGACUCCGCAAAAUAGUAGAAGAGAGCUUUACCAGUCUUCGGAUCAACAGUAACAUACCCUGAAUAUUGAUCACACUUUAACCCUUUUGGUUGCCCCGGCAACGCUACUACCUUGUCAGCCGCCUUCCAAACCCUCUUGAGGACCAAUAUAAACUGGCGUGUUCUCAUUUACGUAAUUGUCUACUUGAUGGGUGUCGAAACCACCAAAAAUAAAAUUCGUACUCCAAAAAGAUAUACUUUUGAGUACAAUGGUGAGUGGAGUCAAAAAAUAAUAAUGUAAAAUUAAAUAAAAAUAAUUCAAUAAAAGAUAAAUCACUAGUCAAAAAUCUAAUCACCACUUUAGUUCAAUUAACUAAUCAUUGAUGCAUGGAUAAAAUCAUUUAUUUAUAAAUAAAUUAGUUAUGGUUGUCAACAAAUUUUAAGAACCUGCCUACCUCUCCUUGCUACCCUCGAUAACCACAGCAAAUUUUGUGAUUAUUACUCUUGCCAAUUAAACAACCCUAGACAAACUUUUAGGAUUUAACAUAUUGACAAAAUUAAUUAUUACAAAAGCUACCCAUUUGAUAACAUUAAUUAUUACAAAAGUUGCCGGUUCUAACCAAUAAACACAUAAGUUUCCGUUUAUUUGGAUUCGAUUAUAUAUUUUCGUGACCUAUAUUUGAAAAUUUUUACUACAAUCAAAUUAUAUCAAAUUAUAUCACUUGCCAUAAAUACUAAAACCAUCAAAUAAUUAUAGAUUUGAUGAUUUAGAUGCAAUAUAGUGUUUCAAUAAUUAAAUAAUGGCCAAUUAUUUAAUCAUAUAAAAUAAUCAUAUUAGGAACUUGAGAAGUUCGGUAAAAUUUUCAUUCCCUCAAAGGUUCAAGGCAAAUAAAUUUGAUAGGGAUUUUGAGAAGUUUGCUAAAAUUUUUAAGCAAUUGCGUAUUAAUAUCCUUUUUGCCGAUGUUAUUUUCAGAUUCCUUCGUAUGAAAAAUUUCUCAAGGAGAUUAUGAUUCAAAAGAGAAAAUUGGAGGAUUGUGAAGCAAUAGCAUUAACGGAGAAGUGCAGUGCCAUCAUACAAAAUAAGCUACCACCAAAAUUGAAGGAUCCAGGGAAUUUCUUUAUAUCAUGCAUGUGAGGACCAGAAAAAAUUUUAUUUUUUUUAAGUUUUCUCCUAUUUUUGAAAAAAAAUUAAUUUAUGUUUCCUUUUAUUUUACUUUACUUGCUUAUUUGCUAGUCUUAAUUUGAUAGUGAUUUUAAAGGUUAAGUUAAGAUUAUUCUUUUGUUCCCUUUUUAUAAUCUUGAUGCAUGUUAAGUUUCAUAAAGUAUUAUGGUAGUUUAACCGACUAGUGAGAUGUACGCAUUAUAUUUGAUGGACGAGAAUGGAUGUGAUGCUAGAGGAAUUAUGUGAUUAGAAGUGUUAAAAAUGUAUUGGAAGAACACAAGAUAUAUUGGUUAUUAGAGAAAUACAAGAGAGACAAAAGGAUAGACAUGAAACCAAGCCUCGACAAGUGUCGUGCAUCCAUGAAGUCUUGACCAAGACAUGGACCAAGAGAAGUCUUAUGUUUAUCUUCCAAAAUUGACUCAAAAACCUUUACUUUCUUCUUCAUUGUGGCCGAACUUAAGGGAGAGAGAGAAGAGAGAAAACUUUCAAAAUCCUCUUGAUUUCCUUGCUUAAUUUGUGAAAAAAUCCAUGAUCAACCCUAAUUUACUCCAUAAAACCUUGAGUUAAUCUUGGAAUGAAACUUUUGGUGGAAUCAUUUGAGGAAGAAAGUUCUUAUCUUACCAUUUAUCUUGGGAUUUUGAGGUAUUUUACUAAGAACCUCUCUUUUUCCUUCUUAUUUUGCCAUUUAAGCAACAUAUAACUUGAUUAGGAUGGAUUUCAUAGAAGAAUUCAUGGUUUUGCUUAGUAGGUUGCAAUUUUCAGCUUUGGAAUAUAUUGUUCAGCCUUGUUAUGAAUGGUUUUGCUUUGAUAUGAGGUUGGAUAUGAAAUUUUAGCUUUGAAAUGAGGUUAUCUAGCUUCUAUAUUCGAAUUUCCAGCUUUAGUGUUAAUUUCCAACUUUGAUUUUGUAUUUUCCAGCCUUGAGUUGAGAGUUUCCAACUUUGAUGUGGACUUAUGAGUUUGGAUAUGAAGAUAUCUAACUUGAACAUGCACUUCUAGCUUUGUUAUAUGAUUUUUCUAGCUUUAGUGGUCAAUUUCCAGCUUUGAGAUGAAAAAUUUCAGCUUUGGUGUAAGUGAUUUGGAGCUUGAUAUAUAUGUUCAAAGUUGAUAGUUUAGUGGCCUAAAGUAUGCACUAUUUGUCCCCUAUAAUAUGUGGCCUUGAUUGAGGUUCAUUUACCAUGAAACUAGGAUUUGAAUGGAUGGUUAACUUGAAGAAAUUUGGGGACAUAUUGCUGGAUUUUCUUCUUGUUGGUCAUUUUGGGGACCUAAAUUUGGGGACAUAAAUUUAGGGCAUUUUUGUUUUUCUCUUGCAUAUGAUUUUACUCAAAACACUUGCUACAAUCUAUUUCUUUGCAUGUACGUUAGUUUUGAGCCAAGACAAGAGGUUUAAAUGAAAGGAAAUGAGUUUUAUCAAAUCAUUUUCUAGUUGGACAAUUUCCAACUUGGCACCUUCAAAGUCUUGACAUAAUUUCCUCAAACUUUUGACUAUAAUCGAUGUUUGUGUGCUCCAAAUGACUCUUGAAACAUGGAUUUAGUAUGCACACAAGGUUUUCCCCUUAAUUUGAACAAGAAAAUGUUAUAUUUUUUAUUAGUUAUAUGGGGAUAAAACUUGUGAACUAGUGUAUUUUCUAAAUGAAGUUUUGAACCCUCAAUUUCUUCAUUGUAUUUUGACUUUGUUUACUAGUCUUUUAAUAUAGUGUAUGACUACAGGACUCGAGAUAUUUCAAGAGGACAAACCGGGGCUGAAGUGAAAGAGUACGAUUGAUUGGUGAGUGUUCUUCGCAUGUUGUGCUUUAAAUGACUAUGUAGAAUGUUUGUUUGAAUGUCAAAUACUUUCUAAUGAUUGUUAAAUGGAUUUUCAAUGGGUGAGUGUGUACUUUAUCACACUUGACCCAAAGUGAAAGUGGAUUUUCAAUGAUUGAAUGUUAUUUGUGCAUGAAUGUAAGCCUUUGAUUGAAUUGGGCCCUUGCCCUUCAUUGCCAGUCGACUCGAGCCAGAAGCAGACUCGGUCGGGUGGCUGGUGACCCUAGGACAGUGUUUGGUAUACUCAAGUAUGAUCACGAAGUUGGAUGGAGUACUAGCCAGUGUAUGCAAUGCAAUGAUUGAAACGAAUGACUGAAUGAAAUGAACACUGAAGGAGUUUUCACUUUCAAAUAUUUUUAAAUAUUGGAGGGAUAAGGGAAAUGGAUGACGAAUGAAUGACUGAAUGAAUGGCUCAAGUGAGUAGUAUCCUUUCAAUGAUUGUUUCUUGAAUGACUGUUUAUUAUCGUGCAAAGUGUAUAAUUGUCAAUUGUAGCAUUUCUGUGCUUUAUCUACCUAACUGCUUGUUUGGGAAUCUCACUAGGCUUUUUGCUCAUUCUAUUAGUUUGUUUUCCUUAUAGGAGUGGAGGCCGGAGCAAGUAAGCGUAAACUAGUGUAUAUAAUCUUCAUUUACUAGUGUGUAUAAUUUUCAUGUACUAGUGUGUAGAUGAAAUGUAUUUGGGAUAUUUAGUAAUGUAAUCCUAUAUUUCACUUUUAGAUUGUAAAUUAAGUGAGAAUUAUUAGUUGAAUUGGGAACUUUUAUGUUAAUCUAGAGACGUGAAAGACUAUUUCAAGAAUGUUAGUGAGUGAGUCCUGACGAGAGUUGGACAGGCGGUCCGCCCAACUCUUGGAUUCGUCCUAGGGAGAGGUGGAGUCGUCACAAUGCACUAUUGAUAACAUUGAUUUUUUUAAAGUAUUAUGUAACCUUGGUGCUAGUGUAUCAGUAAUUCCUUUAAGAGUGGUUAGACAAUUAGAUUUACAUGAGUUUAAAAGUACUAAUAUUACUUUGCAGUUAACUGAUAGGUCUAUUAAAUAUCUAUUGAAAGUGUUGGAGAAUGUAUUAAUUAAAGUAUAAAAAGUUAUCGUCUUUAUGAAUUUUGAGGUAUUAGAUAUGAAAAAAAAAUGUCUAUAUCAAUUAUUCUUGGCAGACCAUUUUUAGCAGUUGUAGGUACUAUUAAUGAUGUUAAAAAUGACAAAUUUAAGUUUCAAAUAUGUAAAGAAGAGGUAGAAUUUAAUUUGAAUGAAAUAAAAAAAUACCAUUUUUUUACUGAUCAUUCUUGUUCUAUUGGCACAAUUGAUAAGUUAGUCAAAGAGUUGAGUCGAGUGAACUGUGACUUCGACCCUUUUGAGAUUUGUUUGAUGAGUUUAAAAAUGCAAGAGGGAGACUGUGAAGAAAUUAAAGAAUUGGCUAAAUAUUUAGAUUUUCAAACAGCUUAUAAACGAGAUAAUGUUUAUGAAAAUCUUGAUCAAAGAAAAGAGCCCCCACUAUCCUCGGAGAUUGAAGUUCCAAAAUUAGAACUCAAGUCGCUCCCAAAUCAUUUAUGGUAUGAGUUUUUUGGAAAAAAUAGCACUCUGCCGAUAAUUAUUAGUGCUCACUUAGAUGAAGAACAAUGUGCAAAAUUGUUAAGGAUUCUAAGAAAACACAAGAAGUCAGUUGGACAGACAAUUUCUGAUAUCAAAGAUACAAGUCAUUAUAUAUGCAUGCACCGCAUAUUAUUAGAAAAAAAUCACACACUAGUGGUAGAAAUGCAAAGAAGGCUCAAUCCAAAUAUGAAAGAGAUGUAAGAAAUAAAAUUCCCAAAUGGCUUGAUUCAGGUAUAAUCUUUUUUUUUCUCUAAUAGUAUUUGGAUAAGUUCAAAUCAUAUUGUCCCUAAAAAGGAUGGAAAAACUGUAGUCAUGGGUAAAAAUGAUAAAAUGAUUCCAUAUCAAUUCAUGAAUUGGUGGAGAGUGUGUAUAGAUUAUAGAAAAUUAAAUGUAGUUACUAGAAAAAAUCACUUUUCCUUACCCUUUUCUGACCAAUUAUUUGAGAGAAUAGCCGGUUAUGAAUUUUACUGUUUUUCUAAUGUUUUUUCGGAUUAUAACCAAUUAGCUAUAAUUUUGGAGGAUCAAGAGAAUACCACAUUUACUUACCCUUAUGGUACCUUUGCCUUAAGAAAGAUGCCAUUUGAUCUAUGUAAAAUCCCUGCUAUGUUUCAACGUUACAUGGUGGCCAUAGUUUCUAAUUACAUUAAGAAAAUUAUGGAGAUAUUUAUGGAUGAUUUUUUGGUAUUUGGUUCAUCUUUUGGUCAUUAUAUUCAUAAUUUAGAUUUGAUUUUACAAAGAUGUGAGGAGACAAAUCUUGUGCUAAAUUAGGAGAAAUGCUAUUUUAUGGUUCGAGAAAAAAUUGUCAGAAUCAGAUAAAGAUAAUAAUGACGAAACUGUAACCAAACCCGUGAUAGUAGAUCCCUACAAAACAUAUAAACUACCAAAUCUGCAAACUUUUAUUACAAUAAGAGCGCCUUUAGAAACCUUCAUAACGUUAUUUUUAGCUGUGUAUGUGCACCCAAGAACCUCCAGAGUGUCCAAAGAAAUGAGAUUCUUUUUCAAAUCAAGAACAUGUCUAAUAUUAGUAAGCGUUCUCAAAAUACCAUCAUGUAUUUUAAUUCAAACUGUACCCUUACCAACAACAUCACAAACGGCAUUAUUGCCCAUGAAAGCAAUUCCACCAUUACAAGAUUCAUAAGUGAAAAAUAAAUCCCCAUUGGGACAUAUGUGAUAAGAGCACCCCGAAUCUAAGAUUCAUUCAUUUUUAAACCUUGUCCUAUCAUCAGUCACAAAAUAUUUAUUUUAUUCUCAUCAACUGCAGCACAAGUUUCGAUAGUUUAGGUACUUUUUUUCACUAGGUUUCCCCUUUUACUUUAAUCUUUUCAAUUUAAAGUAAUUUGCAUUAAUGUGUCUCAUUUUGUGAUAAUAAUUGCACUCUAAAUUUUUGUGUCUGGGUUUAGAUCUAAAGUUAGAUCUACUACUGUCAAAUGUUUUUUAUUGGUUCUGCCCCUAACCACCAGACUUUCCCCCUGAUUCCCAAAUUUCUUCAGUAAUAUCCCUGUCUAUCUGCUCCUUUGAUUUUAAUGCAAAUUUAAUUUCACGAUACGAAAUUAUUUCUUUUCCAUAAAUCAUAGUAUUGUAAAAAUAUUUAAAAGUGGGAAAGGAAAUACAAAAGUAGCAGGGCCUGAUUUUCAACAUCAAUUUCAAAUCUAUAUUCUCCAAAUUCAUAAUAAUUGAAUCAAAUUUAUCAAGAUAUGAGAGUAUAGAUGUACUUUCAGUCAUGCAAAACAUAUACAAACUUUAUUUUAAAUAAAACCGAUUCUUAACUGUUUUCUUCAUGUACAAAGCCUUAAACUUGUCCCACGUGUCCUUUAUCGAAAUUUCAGUGGUUAUCUCCCGCAAAACCACAUCAAAGAGAUUUAAGAUAAUACUAGAUCUUGUCUUCUUAUCUAUUUUAGCAAAAUUUGUAUCUGUCACACUCUUUGACUUUUUAUCAAUUUCUUGUAUUUCUAAAUCAACUCCGCCUUGAACCAAAAUGCUCUCUAUCUUGAGCUGCCGUAUCCCAAAAUUGACAUUCCUGUCAAAUUUUUUGACAAUAAUCUUUGUUAUUAUCAUUGUUGCCACAAAAUUUAAACCUUCCGAAGAAGUUCUGAUAUUAGUUUGUUAGGUCUGGAUCCAGAAAAUUGACGAUAGGAUUUUUGGCAAUCCUAAAAGACAAAUAACAAAGAAAAAUAAAUAAAACAGGAAUACAUAAAAUUUAUAUGAUUCGGUCAAAUAGACCUACGUUCACGAGUGGAGCAAGAGCAAAAUUUUACUAUGAAUAACAGAAUACAAAAAUGUUUUAGACAAGCAUUUUUAAAUCCAAAACACCUAAUACUUGAAACACAAAAGAACCCAAAAAUAUUUUAUUAAACAAAAAGAUUUAAAUGAUUCAAAGGCCCAAAAUAACCCACUAAAACUCUCUUAAUUUGAUUCAUCUGAUUCCCUCAAACAUAUCAAACGUGUAAAACCUUAUCAUAUUUGACCCGUAAAACAUAAUAAACAUGCGUAUACGAAACUAUAAACGAUGUCCCAAAAGAAUUAUCCCCACACAACGAGAGCAAAAUUUCACCCAUUAUAAAACUACUUUCGACGGGGAUUUUUGGUCAGAAUGUAUCAUAGAAAUUUAUAAUUUACAAUACCAGGUCAAUUUUAUCUUAAAAGUUAGGAGGACUAUUGUCAUGCAAUUGACGUUGACUAACUGCCUGCCUUCCAGUCACAAACUGACAACGAUACUAAAUCACAAACUUGACAACAGAUACUUGUUUUUUUUUAUUAGAGAACGUGAGGAACGUGAGGAGCUAACCACGUCGAAAUCAAAAUAACACAAUACUAAAUCAAUUUCAUUGGGCGAAGCAACCUCUUAACUACUGUUCUUUCUGGGAAUCAAGAUUUUAAAAGUCAAGAUAUCCUCGAAUUCUUGGAUAAGAUCAACAGUAUUGGUCAUCACCCUUCCGUGUAUGCUUUUCUCAUCUAUGUUUCUAGUAACCUCAUUUUCGUUCCUCUGUUAUGACAAACUGUUCUGGAAAUAAUAAUCAUUUGACCACAUGAUUAAAAAUCACUAAUGCAUUGCCAUAUAAAGUAAUCUGUCACCAUCUUACCUUCAUUUGAUAAUUACAUUUUAUUUCCUAACCAUUCUAAUUUGUAAUUCAAUUUAACUAAUGAGUAUUCAAUGGACACUCGUUAAAAGAAAUUCGUAUUAGUUUUUUUAAAAAAAUAUAGUUUAUUUGUAAAAGUAUAGCAAUUCGAGAUGUGCAAUAUAAGUGUGUAUGCGUAUUUAUAUAGCAAUUUAGGUGUGGUCAUUAGCAAAAUUUUUCCUAAUUAAGCCUUUACUUAGUAACUGGCAUUUCUAGCCAAAUAUAGAUUGCGUGCCAUUAAAAAAUUCUUCAAAGGGCGGUGUGUCUUUUCACACUGACCUUAUCAAAGACGCGUCCCAUGCUGGUCGGCCGUGACUUUGGUGAUUAGGUCCGACAAGUAAUGAAUUUACUUAUGGGGUACGUCACCACAUUUUUAGGCCUAUAAAUACGAGGACUCUGGUUCGUUAUUUUGAUAUGCUAAACUCAGCAAACAGGUUUUCGACAGUCACAACCAGUUACAAGUAUCCAUUUUCGUUCAUAUUAAUUAGCUAGCUAGUUCUCCAAGGGAAAAAAUGGCUGAAGCCAAAUCUGCUACUGUCACUGAUCAGGUGAAUAGUGAUUCUAUUGCCUAGCCAGAGCUAGAUUUCCUUCUUUUUCAAGUUUGUGUGUGGUUUUGAGAAUCAACUCAUAAACAACUUGUAUUUGGAAAAGUAUGAGGAGUUGCAAGUUAAAGUAAUUUCAACGAUCUUGAAUUGUCUUAUUAACUGAUCGGAUUUAGUCUUCUUCUGAUUGUUUGUUUAUUUGAAGGGAUUCUAAUUGAUUUUGGGAACUCAAUUGUUUUGCGAUUUUCUUACUGGUUAAAAUGUUUGGGAUUUACAGAUCGACAUCAACUCAAUACAACCAGUGGCGCCGGCUGACCCUCACGUGGUCGGGAUCGGACAAUUUGUAGUGGAAAAAUUUCACCACGGCAAGCUGCAUUUCAUCGCCGUGAUUGGCGGAUUCACUUGGAAUUGUGAAGGAGGCAAGUACUACGCACUUAUCAUUCAAAAUCAGGAUUAUGAGGGCGCCACAUUUAUCCAUAAAGCACUCGUUGUUGAGGCCAAAGGUGAAACGAAACUCCUCUGGCACAGGAAUUAAUCAAGCACUACUAUUGAUCAGCUGAGGAUAAAGGACUUUCUUUGGGUACUUAAAUUAUCUAGUGUCUAUGGUGUGGGUUUUCAGUUUAUGCAUGGAUGAUGUACUGCUGCCAUGCAGACAUCUUUCCACUGUUGUACUAGUAUGUUAAAUAAGGUGCACUUAUACCAACAAAAUGCACCAUUCCGUCUAUUUUUUUAAUUUGUAUCCUUGUAAUAACAUGCAAAAGAUGCACUUUUACGAACAAAAAUGUACCAUUAAAUGAAUAAAAACAAUCGUCUGUUUUUGAGUUUUAUCUGUAUAUUUUGUUUCUAUGUUACUUCCAAGCAAGUUCCGAUCCCUGAAUUUGUAUGUCAACUACGUACUAUGGUCUUGUUAGAUAUUUGGGUUGUCCUCCUAAAUCUGCUUUUAAUAUGAUAGAAUCUAUUUGUGGUAGAUUUUUUGUGGGGUUCCUCGGAGGAGCAAAGGAACACGCCAGUUUCUAACUCGGAAUGGUCCAAGCUAGUUCAUUGAUCCAGCUCCCAGAGUAGAGCUGUCUGGUCCUGCCAUCACCAAACUAAGAACAUGUUUCCUUGAAACGCCCAUAGAGAAUGCUUUCUAGGAUCAACCAAAAAUGAUAAUAAUAACAGUAAAUGUACCUCCAUUUAGCCAUAAAACACGAGGCUUGUUACAAGGAUUUUCGGACUCCGCAAAAUAGUAGAAGAGAGCUUUACCAGUCUUCGGAUCAACAGUAACAUACCCUGAAUAUUGAUCAAACUUUAACCCUUUUGGUUGCCCCGGCAACGCUACUACUUUGUCAGCCGCCUUCCAAACCCUCUUGAGGACCAAUAUAAACUGGCGUGUUCUCAUUUACGUAAUUGUCUACUUGAUGGGUGUCGAAACCACCAAAAAUAAAAUUCGUACUCCAAAAAGAUAUACUUUUGAGUACAAUGGUGAGUGGAGUCAAAAAAUAAUAAUGUAAAAUUAAAUAAAAAUAAUUCAAUAAAAGAUAAAUCUCUGGUUAAAAAUCUAAUCACCACUUUAGUUCAAUUAACUAAUCAUUGAUGCAUGGAUAAAAUCAUUUAUUUAUAAAUAAAUUAGUUAUGGUUGUCAACAAAUUUUAAGAACCUGCCUACCUCUCCUUGCUACCCUCGAUAACCACAGCAAAUUUUGUGAUUAUUACUCUUGCCAAUUAAACAACCCUAGACAAACUUUUAGGAUUUAACAUAUUGACAAAAUUAAUUAUUACAAAAGCUACCCAUUUGAUAACAUUAAUUAUUACAAAAGUUGCCGGUUCUAACCAAUAAACACAUAAGUUCCGUUUAUUUAGAUUCGAUUAUAUAUUUUCGUGACCUAUAUUUGAAAAUUUUUACUACAAUCAAAUUAUAUCAAAUUAUAUCACUUGCCAUAAAUACUAAAACCAUCAAAUAAUUAUAGAUUUGAUGAUUUAGAUGCAAUAUAGUGUUUCAAUAAUUAAAUAAUGGCCAAUUAUUUAAUCAUAUAAAAUAAUCAUAUUAGGAACUUGAGAAGUUCGGUAAAAUUUUCAUUCCCUCAAAGGUUCAAGCCAAAUAAAUUUGAUAGGGAUUUUGAGAAGUUUGCUAAAAUUUUUAAGCAAUUGCGUAUUAAUAUCCUUUUUGCGGAUGUUAUUUUCAGAUUCCUUCGUAUGAAAAAUUUCUCAAGGAGAUCAUGAUUCGAAAGAGAAAAUUGGAGGAUUGUGAAGCAAUAGCAUUAACGGAGAAGUGCAGUGCCAUCAUACAAAAUAAGCUACCACCAAAAUUGAAGGAUCCAGGGAAUUUCUUUAUAUCAUGCAUGUGAGGACCAGAAAAAAUUUUAUUUUUUUAAAGUUUUCUCCUAUUUUUGAAAAAAAAUUAAUUUAUAUUUCCUUUUAUUUUACUUUACUUGCUUAUUUGCUAGUCUUAAUUUGAUAGUGAUUUUAAAGGUUAAGUUAAGAUUAUUCUUUUGUUCCCUUUUUAUAAUCUUGAUGCAUGUUAAGUUUCAUAAAGUAUUAUGGUAGUUUAACCGACUAGUGAGAUGUACGCAUUAUAUUUGAUGGACGAGAAUGGAUGUGAUGCUAGAGGAAUUAUGUGAUUAGAAGUGUUAAAAAUGUAUUGGAAGAACACAAGAUAUAUUGGUUAUUAGAGAAAUACAAGAGAGACAAAAGGAUAGACAUGAAACCAAGCCUCGACAAGUGUCGUGCAUCCAUGAAGUCUUGACCAAGACAUGGACCAAGAGAAGUCUUAUGUUUAUCUUCCAAAAUUGACUCAAAAACCUUCACUUUCUUCUUCACUGUGGCCGAACUUAAGGGAGAGAGAGAAGAGAGAAAACUUUCAAAAAUCCUCUUGAUUUCCUUGCUUAAUUUGUGAAAAAAUCCAUGAUCAACCCUAAUUUACUCCAUAAAACCUUGAGUUAAUCUUGGAAUGAAACUUUUGGUGGAAUCAUUUGAGGAAAAAAGUUCUUAUCUAGCAAUUUAUCUUGGGAUUUUGAGGUAUUAUACUAAGAACCUCUCUUUUUCCUUCUUAUUUUGCCAUUUAAGCAACAUAUAACUUGAUUAGGAUGGAUUUCAUAGAAGAAUUCAUGGUUUUGCUUAGUAGGUUGCAAUUUUCAGCUUUGGAAUAUAUUGUUCAGCCUUGAUAUGAAUGGUUUAGCUUUGAUAUGAUGUUCGAUAUGAAAUUUUAGAUUUGAUAUGAGGUUAUCUAGCUUUAAUAUUCGAAUUUCCUGCUUUAGUGUUAAUUUCCAACUUUGAUUUUGUAUUUUCCAGCCUUGAGUUGAGAGUUUCCAGCUUUGAUGUGGACUUAUGAGUUUGGAUAUGAAGAUAUCUAACUUGAACAUGCACUUCUAGCUUUGUUAUAUGAUUUUUCUAGCUUUAGUGGUCAAUUUCGAGCUUUGAGAAGAAAAAUUUCAGCUUUGGUGUAAGUGAUUUGGAGCUUGAUAUAUAUGUUCAAAGUUGAUAGUUUUGUGGCCUAAAGUAUGCACUAUUUGUCCCCUAUAAUAUGUGGCCUUGAUUGAGGUUCAUUUACCAUGAAACUAGGAUUUGAAUGGAUGGUUAACUUGAAGAAAUUUGGGAACAUAUUGCUGGAUUUUCUUCUUGUUGGUCAUUUUGGGGACCUAAAUUUGGGGACAUAAAUUUAGGGCAUUUUUGUUUUCCUCUUGCAUAUGAUUUUACUCAAAACACUUGUUACAAUCUAUUUCUUUGCAUAUGCGUUAGUUUUGAGCCAAGAUAAGUGGUUUAAAUGAAAGGAAAUGAGUUUUAUUAAAUCAUUUUCUAGUUGGACAAUUUCCAACUUGGCACCUUGAAAGUCUUGACAUAAUUUUCUCAAACUUUUGACUAUAAUCGAUGCUUGUAUGCUCCAAAUGACUCUUGAAACAUGGAUUUAGUAUGCACACGAGGUUUUCCCCUUAAUUUGAGCAAGAAAAUGUUAUAUUUUUUAUUAGUUAUAUGGGGAUAAAACUUGUGAACUAGUGUAUUUUCUAAAUGAAGUUUUGAACCCUCAAUUUCUUCAUUGUAUUUUGACUUUGUUUACUAGUCUUUUAAUAUAGUGUAUGACUACAGGACUCGAGAUAUUUCAAGAGGACAAACCGGGGUUGAAGUGAAAGAGUACGAUUGAUUGGUGAGUGUUCUUCGCAUGUUGUGUUUUAAAUGACUAUGUGGAAUGUUUGUUUGAAUGUCAAAUACUUUCUAAUGAUUGUUAAAUGGAUUUUCAAUAGGUGAGUGUGUACUUUAUCACACUUGACCCAAAGUGAAAGUGGAUUUUCAAUGAUUGAAUGUUAUUUGUGCAUGAAUGUAAGCCUUUGACUGAAUUGGGCCCUUGCCCUUCAUUGCCAGUCGACUCGAGUCAGAAGCAGACUCGGUCGGGUGGCUGGUGACCCUAGGACAGUAUUUGGUAUACUCAAGUAUGAUCACGAAGUUGGAUGGAGUACUAGCCACUGAAUGUAAUGCAAUGAUUGAAAUGAAUGACUGAAUGAAAUGAACACUGAAGGAGUUUUCACUUUCAAAUAUUUUUAAAUAUUGGAGGGAUAAGGGAAAUGGAUGACGAAUGAAUGACUGAAUGAAUGGCUCAAGUGAGUAGUAUCCUUUCAAUGAUUGUUUCUUGAAUGACUGUUUAUUAUCGUGCAAAGUGUAUAAUUGUCAAUUGUAGCAUUUCUGUGCUUUAUCUACCUAACUGCUUGUUUGGGAAUUUCACUGGGCUUUUUGCUCAUUCAAUUAGUUUGUUUUCCUUAUAGGAGUGGUGGCCAGAGCAAGUAAGCGUGAACUAGUGUAUAUAAUCUUCAUGUACUAGUGUGUAUAAUUUUCAUGUACUGGUGUGUAGAUGAAAUGUAUUUGGGAUAUUUAGUAAUGUAAUCCUAUAUUUCACUUUUAGAUUGUAAAUUAAGUGAGAAUUAUUAGUUGAAUUGGGAACUUUUAUGUUAAUCUAGAGACGUGAAAAACUAUUUCAAGAAUGUUAAUGAGUGAGUCCUAACGAGAGUGGGAUAGGUGGUCCGUCCAACUCUUGGAUUCAUCCUAGAGAGAGGUGGAGUCGUCACAAUGCACUAUUGAUAACAUUGAUUUUUUAAAAGUAUUAUGUAACCUUGGUGCUAGUGUAUCAGUAAUUCCUUUAAGAGUGGUUAGACAAUUAGAUUUAGAUGAGUUUAAAAGUACUAAUAUUACUUUGCAGUUAACUGAUAGGUCUAUUAAAUAUCUAUUGAAAGUGUUGGAGAAUGUAUUAAUUAAAGUAUAAAAUGUUAUCGUCUUUAUGAAUUUUGAGGUAUUAGAUAUGAAAAAAAAAUGUCUAUAUCAAUUAUUCUUGUCAGACCAUUUUUAGCAGUUGCAGGUACUAUUAAUGAUGUUAAAAAUGACAAAUUUAAGUUUCAAAUAUGUAAAGAAGAGGUAAAAUUUAAUUUGAAUGAAAUAAAAAAAAUACCAUUUUUUUACUGAUCAUACUUGUUUUAUUGGCACAAUUGAUAAGUUAGUCAAAGAGUUAAGUCGAGUGAACUGUGACUUCGACCCUUUUGAGAUUUGUUUGAUGAGUUUAAAAUUGCAAGAGAGAGACUGUGAAGAAAUUAAAGAAUUGGCUAAAUAUUUAGAUUUUCAAAUAGCUUAUAAACGGGAUAAUGUUUAUGAAAAUCUUGAUCAAAGAAAAGAGCCCCCCACUAUCCUCGGAGAUUGAAGUUCCAAAAUUAGAACUCAAGUCGCACCCAAAUCAUUUAUGGUAUGAGUUUUUUUGGAGAAAAUAGCACUCUACCGAUAAUUAUUAGUGCUCACUUAGAUGAAGAACAAUGUGCAAAAUUGUUAAGGAUUCUAAGAAAACACAAGAAGUCAGUUGGACAGACAAUUUCGGAUAUCAAAGAUACAAGUCAUUAUAUAUGCAUGCACCGCAUAUUAUUAGAAAAAAAUCACACACUGGUGGUGGAAAUGCAAAGAAGGCUCAAUCCAAAUAUGAAAGAGAUGUAAGAAAUAAAAUUCUCAAACAACUUGAUUCAGGUAUAAUCUUUUUUUUCUCUAAUAGUAUUUGGAUAAGUCCAAAUCAUAUUGUCCCUCAAAAGAAUGGAAAAACUGUAGUCAUGGGUAAAAAUGAUAAAAUGAUUCCAUCUCAAUUCAUGAAUUGGUGGAGAGUGUGUAUAGAUUAUAGAAAAUUAAAUGUAGUUACUAGAAAAAAAUCACUUUUUCUUACCCUUUUUUGACCAAUUAUUUGAGCGAAUAGCCAGUUAUGAAUUUUACCGUUUUUCUAAUGAUUUUUCAGAUUAUAACCAAAUAUCUAUAAUUUCGGAGGAUCAAGAGAAUACCACAUUUACUUACCCUUAUGGUACCUUUGCCUUUAGAAAGAUGCCAUUUGAUCUGUGUAAAAUCCCUGCUACGUUUCAACGUUACACGGUGGCCAUAGUUUCUAAUUACAUUAAGAAAAUUAUGGAGAUAUUUAUGGAUGAUUUUUUGGUAUUUGGUUCAUCUUUUGGUCAUUAUAUUCAUACUUUAGAUUUGAUUUUACAGAGAUGUGAGGAGACAAAUCUUGUGCUAAAUUAGGAGAAAUGCUAUUUUAUGGUUCUAUAAAAAAUUGUCAGAAUCAGAUAAAGAUAAUAAUGACGAAACUAUAACCAAACCCGUGAUAGUAGAUCCCUACAAAACAUAUAAACUACCAAAUCUGUAAACUUUUAUUACAAUAAGAGCGCCUUUAGAAACCUUCAUAACGUCAUUUUUAGUUGUGUAUGUGCACCCAAGAACCUCCAGAGUGUCCAAAGAAAUGAGAUUCUUUUCAAAUCAAGAACAUGUCUAAUAUUAGUGAGCGUUCUCAAAAUACCAUUAUGUAUCUUAAUUCAAACUGUACCCUUACCAACAACAUCACAAACGACAUUAUUGCCCAUGAAAACAAUUCCACCAUCACAAGAUUCAUAAGUGAAAAAUAAAUCCCCAUUGGGACAUAUGUGAUAAGAGCACCCCGAAUCUAAAAUUCAUUCAUUUUUAAACCUUGUCCUAUCAUCAGUCACAAAAUAUUUAUUUUAUUCUCAUCAACUGCAGCACAAGUUUCGACAGUUUAGGUACUUUUUUCACUAGGUUUCCCCUUUUACUUUAAUCUUUUCAAUUUAAAGUAAUUUGCAUUAAUGUGUCUCAUUUUGUGAUAAUAAUUGCAUUCUAAAUUUUUGUGUCUGGGCUUAGAUCUAAAUUUAGAUCUACUACUGUCAAAUGUUUUUUAUUGGUUCUGCCCCUAACAACCAGACUUUCCCCCUGAUUCCCAAAUUUCUUGAGUAAUAUCCCUGUUUGUCUGCUCCUUAGAUUUUAAUGCAAAUUUAAUUUCACGAUACGAAAUUGUUUCUUUUCCAUAAAUCAUAGUAUUGUAAAAAUAUUUAAAAGUGGGAAAGGAAAUACAAAAGUAGCAGGGCCUGAUUUUCAACAUCAAUUUCAAAUCUAUAUUCUCAAAAUUCAUAAUAAUUGAAUCAAAUUUAUCAAGAUGUGAGAGUAUAGAUGUACUUUCAGUCAUGCGAAACAUAUACAAACUUUGUUUUAAAUAAAACCGAUUUUUAACUGUUUUCUUCAUGUACAAAGCCUUAAACUUGUCCCACGUGUCCUUUACCAAAAUUUCAGUGGUUAUCUCCCGCAAAACCUCAUCAAAGAGAUUUAAGAUAAUACUGGAUCUUGCCUUCUUAUCUAUUUUAGCAAAAUUUGUUUCUGUCACACUCUUUGACUUUUUAUGAAUUUCUUGUAUUUCUAAAUCAACUCCGUCUUGAACCAAAAUGCUCUCUAUAUUGAGCUGCCGUAUCCCAAAAUUGGCAUUCCUGUCAAAUUUUUUGACAAUAAUCUUUGUUAUUAUCAUUGUUGCCCCAAAAUUUAAACCUUCCGAAGAAGUUCUGAUAUUAGUUUGUUAGGUCUGGAUCCAGAAAAUUGACGAUAGGAUUUGUGAGAACCGGAAAAAAAAGAAAAAAAAUAUUUUUUUUAUUUUAGGCAUUAUUUUAUUCCUGUGCACAUUUAUAUUUUCUUCAUUAUAUUAACUUUAUAUCAGUAAAUAUAGUUUUGAAAUUAUUUUUCUAGUAUAAAUUAGUUCAUGAGAAAUUAGGAGUGUAUGUUGGACGUGGGACUCGCUAGUGCGUUAAGUGAGAGAAAUUCGGCCGAUUAGGUUAAGUUUUGCAUAAAGCGAUGUAAAUAUUAGGUGUUAGGAGAUAAUUAGAGGUUACCUAAAUGGAUUAACCAUGGGGAGACUAGAAAAUAACUUUAAACAACAACAAAGUGCCAAGUGUCACUUACUUAGUCAAAGUUAGACUUGCCUAACUUUCUUAACUUUACUAAAAGACCAAAUUUGACCCAAAUCAUCUUCAUUUUAUCUCCUUCUUGGCCGAACCUCAUCUUGAGAGAAAGAAAAGAAAGCUUCAACUAUCUCUUCCAUUUCUUGCACAAAUCUUGAAAUCUAACCGAUUAAACCUUGAAUUAGUCCACAAAAGUGACUUGCUAAGGGAGUUUGAAGAUCUUGGUGGAGUUGUUUUGGAAGCAAAACCCCUAAGCUACUACCUUUCUUAAGGAGUUAAGGUAUUUUGCUUGGAACUCACUCUUUGUCCCUAAUAAUGGUCAAUUGGUGACUUAUGGUAGCUAACUAAGUGAUUUUAUGGAAGAUUUCAUGGAUUAAAAUGGAGUUAGCCAAAUUUCUGAUUUUUUGAGAAUUUUUUUGUUUUCAUAUGAUGGUUAUGGUUAGCCUUGGAUUGAUAGCUCUAAAUUGUGUAAAAUGGAGCUUUUGUGCGUUAAUUGUGGUUAUUUGCGGAGAAUUUCCGCUUGUGCGGAAAAUUUCAGAUUUAGGGUUACUAAUUAGGGCUUUCUUAUGGUUGGUUGUUGAGCUUCUAAUUGGCUAUGAUUGAGGGGUAUUGUGACCCUAAUGAAGUGUGUUGAAUGGCUUAUGAAUUGUUUGUGUGCUUGUGGUUGCUUUGGAUGAAUUUCAAGGGUUGUUUGUAGGAUGGAAAAUCUGAAAUUUUAGGGGAAAUGCUGUCCAAAUAAUGAGGAUGUUGGAUUCUUGUGAGUUUAGGUUGAGGUUGGAUAGAAAUGAAAGAUUUUGGGGUUUGUUUCUACUUUUAGCUCUAAAUGUUAUGUAUUUUCCAUUUCAAGCUAUAUUUGGUUUUGCCUUAAUAGUUCAUUUAAGAGGUAUUUGAUUCGUGUCCGAGUCUCAAUUGUGCUUUCUUGAUUGUUAUAGGGCGUGCCGGUGAACCGAGGCUUACGUUGGGCGAAAACUUGUGAAAUUGCUUGUUUCAAUUGGUGAGUAUACCUUGUAUGGUUUAAUGCUUAAAUGAUUGUUUAUACUUGAUUCUGUGAACUUGGUUGACUUGAAUGAGACGAGAGUGUACUUCACCGCUCUUGUUCUCUUACUUGUGUGACUACUACUGUAUUACUGUAAAACUGUACUUGUGCAUGCUUUAAUGUCGAUUGGAGGGUUGUGUCCAACGACUCUAUUGUGAUAUCUGAGCUCUUACCUCAUUGGUCGUUAUUCGGGUCGAGCCGGCAAGGGCUUGGUCGGUUCGAUAACAAACCAUGAGUGACUGUUAGUCGAGUGGAGUGUUAUCUCCUCGACCCUGUGUAUACUCGAGUAUUACCUUUCUGUUGCUGUGAGGUAUUCGGGCCCGGUAAGGGAAAUGUUCGGUGGAAGGAAUGUGGUGUAAGGUGGGAUCUAUGGUCGUGUUCUUUACUCCAAACGUUGACGGAGUGUCGACGAGUUUGAGAUCAAGUACGACAAGUGGAAAGUGGCUCUUGAGAGCCGACCGUAUCCUUUUAACUUGGUUACGUGAUGAAAUUUCUUAUGUGUUCCUUGCCUAAUCAUGUUUAUCCUGGUGUGUCUUGUCGGUACCUCACGAGCGUAAGCUCACUCCAUUACCUUUGUUUUCCUUACAGGGUCAACUUUUGGAAACCAUGAUUUUGGAAUACUGAAUUGAGCUAGUAUAAAUACUUUUUGUAUAGCUCCUCGGGAGUUGAAAAACUCUAAAUGUACCCUGAUCCAAAUAUUUCCCUUUUGCUUUGUAAAUUGCAAACGUAUGUGUAUAACACUGUUUAAUCAUGUUCAUGUAUUAUAUUUGGUUUGGAAUGUUCAUUCUCUAGAAUGAUACCACGUUAUCUGUAUUCGAUUGGGUACCGACUGGAUGGUGACGUGGCAGUCACUAUUCACUUUCAGUGACUAUUUUCGUUUUCAGUUUUGUGAUUGUUGAAUCGUUUAGGAGCGCUAACAUCUAUAUUCCGAAUGUUUUGGUUUGUGUAUGACCGUCUUAGUAGUCCUGGCGAGAGUUGGGCAGGCAGUUCGCUAACCACUUUGGUACGCCUUAGGGGAAGGUGGGGCUGUCACAGUUGGUAUCAGAGUUUAGGUUAGAAAUAAUCUGGGCGAACCUGAAACCUGAUUCUUAGAACUUUUGGGGAUUGUGUUAGGGUCUAUUUAAGUAUGAUUACUUUGUCUAAGUUGUAAAUUGUGAAUAUCCUUAUAGGUCAUGGACGAAGCUAGUGGGAGCUAAGGUAGGCCGCCUCGGAGACGUUUUCGCGUCGUUGAUUACGAGGAUAGGCCCGGAGGACCGAUUCGGCGCUGGAGCACGGCCAGUCGGACUAGGCGCUGUGGUCGUUGCCAGCAUUAUUCCUAUGCUGACCAUGUGGUCGUGGCCGCGUUAGAUGAGAGGAGGAGCCUCAGGCGUGCCGCCGCCAGAGAUCACACUGAGCUGCAGCGUGUGAGGAGCAUUAUGAGGAUGCAGGCGGAUCACAUUCGGGAGCUCCAAGGGGAUGUAGUCAAAGAGCAGGAGCGGACGAAUGCUCUUAGAGAGCAGUUACAGGUAGCCAACGGCCGUCUCACUAGGACCGGUUCGGUGGUAUUAUUAACGAGUGUAAGGCGCUAAUCUAGGGAGUGAUUGGCGCUAAUAUGCCAGGGGGAGUUCCAGGCGACGGAGCUCCAGGCGAGGGAGGUGCUCCUAGUUCUAGUUCUGGGGAGGAGUCGGUUGGCUCAGUCGAGAACUAGGUUAGAGCUCCUUCGAGCUAUAUUUUGAUCCCAUGUGGGAAAUGGCUAGGGAAAGCUCCUAGUUAGCUAUUUUUGUGUUUUGACCUAGCUUUGUAUAUCUUACUUUUGGAUGCCCGCUACUUUCAUGGGAUUACUCUUGUAUAUAUUUGACUGACUGCUACUCUAUGACUUGUUUGACACAUCUGUGUGUAAUAUGUGUAAAUGUUUUGUUUGGUGUUUAUUUCUUGUUAUUUGUUUACGUUCUAUAUCGUUUUAAUAUUAUACCUGUGCUUCGACCCUAGAUUGGAUUAUAUCAAUGGAAGGUACUUGUAGUGGUCGGGGCCGAGGACGUGGUAUUAGGCAAUCUGCGACUGAGGGGGGUAGUUGGGAAACUGUGCCUGAACCCAAUCUUGAGCCUAGAAUUGAUCCUAAUGCCCAGGUAGCCGCUGCUAUUCAGCUCAUGACUGACUUGUUGUCCCACAUAGUGGAACACCAGGGCCAACCCCCUAUUCAUCAACCCAGAAGCUCGGGCAACCAUAUAGAGGGUGAGGACAAAGCCCUUGAAAGAUUUCAAAAGUUCCCCCCACCAAAGUUCCUGGGAGGGCCUGAUCCAGACGUGGCCGAACGGUGGUUGGAGAAGAUGAUAGAUAUCUUUGCAGUCUUACAUUAUUCGGAGGAGAGGCAGGUUACUUUUGCUGUCUUUCAGUUGGAAGGGGCCGCCCGGUCUUUGUGGAACGUGAUUCGAACAAAGUGGGAAAGAGAGCAAACACCAAAGACCUUAGUAAACUUCAUGAGAGAGUUUAACGCUAAGUAUUUUUCGCCCCUAGUUCAGGAAAAGAAGGAGGAUGAAUUCAUUAGGUUGCGCCAGGGAGCUUAAUCGAUGGCUGAGUAUGAGAACCAGUUUACUAGACUAUCCAAGUUCGCCCCUGAACUUAUUGUAACUGAGCAAAGAAGGGUGCGGCGAUUUAUUCAGGGGCUAAAUGUGGAAAUUCAAAAGGAUCUGGUGGUAGCUCAGAUUAAUACUUUUAGUGAGGCAGUUGAGAAGGCAUUGCGAGUUGAAAAUGCAAGACUUCAAGUGAGAAACUUCCAAGUGAGAAAACGGGGAUUUUCUGGAAGUAGUUCAGGGCAAAGUGAGAGAAGUGACCCUCCCAAGUUUGGAAAGGGAGCCGGAGGAGCAAGACUUUCGGGGAUGUCGAGGGGAACCCCAUCAAGGGGUGGUCCAGUAGGGCGAGGCCAGCAGAGGAGUGCCUCACAGGGGAGCUCAGCUUCUGUUUCUCGGGUCCUUGUGAAUUCUGUGGGAAACCAAACCAUACUGAGGAUAACUGUUGGAAGAAGGAAGGGAAAUGCUUGGGCUGUGAGAGUGCGGAGCACCAAAUUGCAAGUUGUCCAGUUCUAUCUCGAGAGGCAAGAGUAACUCCGUAAUCGUCGAAGACCAACUCGGGGCAAUCUAAGGUGGAAGGGACAAGACCAAAGGUGGCCGCUCGGGUGUAUUCCCUUGAGCAACGUCAAGUCCCUGAUUCAUCUAAGAUCGUGGAAGGUACGAUCCCUGUCUUUCAUCGUCUAGUUAGGAUUUUAAUAGACCCCGGUGCCACCCAUUCCUUUGUUAACCCUGAUUUUAUGUGCGAAAUUGAUAUAAGACCUGUUAGCUUGCUUUAUGACCUGGAAGUUAGUACCCCUACGGGGACCUAACGUUUGAUCACUAGUAAGAUGUAUGUUGAUUGUGAAAUUUGGGUAGGAGAGAGAAAGCUUUUGGAAAAUCUUAUAAACUUAACUAUUAAGGGGUACGAUGUUAUUUUGGGUAUGGACUGGUUAGCUAGGUAUGAUGCACAACUUGACUGUAAGUAGAAUUACGUAUACCGGGGGAGACGACUUUAAGGCUAGAUGUAAGGGGUAGCCUAGCCUCAUCUGCAUUGAUUUCGGGUAUUCGGACUAGGAAACUCAGAGGGGCGCAAGGGUUCUUAGCUUUUCUUAUAAAUCCUCCCACUGAUAAGUUGAAGGUAGAAGAUGUGCCGGUAGUGAUUGAAUAUCUGGAUGUAUUCCCUGAUGAAUUAGUAAUCUUACCACCGGAGAGAGAGAUAGAUUUCAAGAUAGACUUGUUACCGGGGACGUCACCUAUCUCUAAAACCCCAUAUCGGAUGGCACCUGCUGAGUUUAAGGAGUUGAAAUUGCAGUUGCAAGACCUUUUGGAACGAGGGUUUAUUCGUGAGAGUGGAUCUCCUUGGGGAGCCCCUAUGCUAUUUGUGAAAAAGAAAGACGGGACCUUGAGGUUGUGUAUAGAUUAUUGGGGAUUAAACAAUAUGAUCAUUAAGAAUAAAUACCCACUGUCCCAUAUCGAUGAAUUGUUUGACCAGUUGCAAAGAGCAGUGGUCUUUUCGAAAUUAGAUCUCCGACAGGGUUUUUAUCAGUUGUUAAUUCGGAAAGAGGACGUACCAAAAACUGCCUUCAAUUCUAGAUAUGAGCAUUGUGAAUUUUCCGUUAUGCCCUUUGGAUUGACCAAUGCCCCUGCCGUCUUUAUGGAUUUGAUGCAUCGAGUUUUCAAACCCUACCUGGACCGAUUUAUCGUUGUGUUUAUCGAUGAUAUUCUGGUCUACUCAAAAACCCAAGAGGAGCAUGAGCAACAUUUGAAGCUAGUCUUGCAAACCCUAAGAGAUCAUCAGCUAUACGCUAAAUUUAGUAAAUGUGAAUUCUGGCUGGAGAAAAUUUCUUUCUUGGGGCAUGUGAUUUCGAAAAGGGUAUUACGGUAGAUCCGGCGAAAGUAGUGGCCGUAACUGAAUGGAAGAGACCUGAAACUCCUAUUGAAGUGCGUAGCUUUUUAGGAUUGGUUGGGUACUAUAGGCAUUUUAUUCAGAACUUUUCCAAGAUUGCCGGUCCUUUGACCAAUUUAACCAAAAAAAAUGGCCGUUUUCUGUGGGACACUAGGUGUGAAGGUAGCUUUCAAGAAUUGAAGAAAAAACUAACCGUGGCCCCUAUUCUCACUUUGCCUAAUGGAAAGAAUAGUUUCACUGUUUAUACUGAUGCGUUAAAGGAAGGAUUGGGGUGCGUGUUGAUGCAGAAUAAGAAUGUAAUAUCGUUUGCCUCUAGGAAAUUGAAACCUCACGAGCAAAACUACCCUACUCAUAACUUGAAAUUAGCGGCCGUAGUCUUUGCCCUGAAAAAGUGGAGACACUACUUGUACGGGGUAAUUUUUUAGGUUUAUUCUGACCAUAAAAGCCUUAAGUAUCUGUUUUCUCAAAAAGAAUUGAACAUAUGGCAGCGACGAUGGAUGAAAAUUUUGGAGGACUAUGACUGUAAGAUUAACUACCAUCUGGGAAAAGCGAAUGUAGUAGCUGAUGCCUUAAGUCGGAAGGCUCAAAUAGCUGGGCUAAUGGUCAAAGAAUGGAAGAUGUUGGGAGUGGUUAGUGAGUGGAACCCUAAUUUGGAACGUCAAAAGGUGACCUUUGGGAAUAUCCGGGUAACAUCUACUAUUCUUGGUCGAAUUAAAGAAGCCCAAGAGAAGGAUCCGAUGGUACAAAAGUGGAAGGAAAAGGUAGAGAAGGGAGAAUUACCUGAUUUCGAUUUGAGUCCUGAAGGGAUUUUAAAAUAUAGGAACCGAGUAGUAGUGGCCAAGGAUGAAACAUUGAAAAGGGAGAUUUUGGAGGAAGCCUAUCGAUCGAAAUAUACAAUUCACCCGAGUAGUAACAAGAUGUACCAAGAUCUGCGAAGGUUGUAUUGGUGGGAUAAAAUAAAGAGGGAGAUUGCUCAAUAUGUACAAUCCUGUUUAGUCUGCCAGCAAGUUAAGGCUGAACGCCAAAAAUUCUCUGGAUUGUUACAACCUCUUGAGAUACUUGAAUGGAAGUGGAAAAAUAUCACAAUGGACUUUGUUUCUGGAUUGCCAAGGACACAAAAGGGAUAUGAUGCUGUUUGGGUGAUCGUUGAUCGGUUAACCAAAUCAGCCCAUUUCUUGCCUGUGAAUAUGAAGUAUUCCCUAGAGAAGUUGGCUCGACUGUAUAUGAAUGAAAUUGUGAGAUUACACGAAAUUCCAGUGAGUAUAGUUUCCAACCGAGAUCCUCGUUUCGUGUCAAGAUUUUGGCAAAAGUUUCAAGAGACCUUAAGAACUAAACUCAGCCUUAGUACUACUUAUCACCCCCAGAUGGAUGAACAGUCUGAACGAACCAUUCAAACCCUUGAGAAUAUGCUAAGGACUUGCAUCUUAGACUUUGGGGGUAGUUGGGGCCAACACAUGACCUUGGUGGAGUUUGCCUACAAUAAUAGUUACCACUUGUCGAUCCAAAUGGCAUCAUACGAAGCGCUUUACGGAAGGAAGUGUCGUUCACCCAUAUAUUGGGAUGAAGUAGGGGAAAAGAAGGUCUUGGACCCAACAGCCAUUCCGUGGAUGGAGGAUACUCAAGAAAAGGUUAAAUUGAUACGUCAGAGACUCCAAACAGCUCAAAGUCGCCAAAAGAACUACGCGGAUAACCGAAGGAAAGAUUUGGAGUUUGAAAUUGGAGAUCGUGUUUUCCUUAAGAUCACACCCUUACGAAGUGUCACCGCGGGUAGAGGAAAGAAACUUCAACCACGAUUCGUAGGACCCUUCAAGAUUCUCCAAAGGGUUGGAAAAGUAGCGUAUCGACUCGAGUUGCCGCCAAGUUUAUCCCGAAUUCAUGACGUCUUCCAUGUCUCAAUGCUUAAAAAGUACUAUCCUGAUCCAACCCACAUUGUACAACCAAAGGAGAUUGAGAUAGAUGAAGCACUCACCUACGAAGAGAGACAUGUGCGAUUACUCGAUCGAAGGAUUAAGGAACUGAGAAAUAAACAAAUCCCAUUAGUGAAGGUUUUGUGGAGGAAUCAUGGAAUAGAAGAGGCCACUUGGGAGGUGGAGGAGGAGAUGCAAAAGAGAUACCCUGAGCUGUUUAGUAACCCAGGUGAGAAAUUUCGAGGACGAAAUUCUUUAAGGGGGAGAGAGUGUGAGAACCGGAAAAAAAGAAAAAAAAGGAAGAAAAGACAAAAAUGAAAAAAAGAAAUUUUUUUUUUUAUUUUAGGCAUUAUUUUAUUUCUGUGCACAUUUAUAUUUUCUUCAUUAUAUUAACUUUAUAUUAGUAAAUAUAGUCUUAAAAUCAUUUUUCUAUUAUAAAUUAGUUCAUGAGAAAUUAGGAGUGUAUGUUGGACGUGGGACCCGCUAGUGCAUUAAGUGAGAGAAAUUCGGCCGAUUAGGUUAAGUUUUGCAUAAAGGGAUGUAAAUAUUAGGUGUUAGGAGAUAAUUAGAGAUUACCUAGAUGGAUUAACCAUGGGGAGACAAGAAAAUAACUUUAAGCAACAACAAAGUGCCAAGUAUCACUUACUUAGUCAAAGUUAGACUUGUCUAACUUUCUUAACUUUACUAAAAGACCAAAUUUGACCCAAAUCAUCUUCAUUUUAUCUCCUUCUUGGCCGAACCUCAUCUUGAGAGAAAAGAAAAGAAAGCUUCAACUAUCUCUUCCAUUUCUUGCACAAAUCUUGAAAUCCAACAGAUUAAACCUUGAAUUAGUCCACAAAAGUGACUUGCUAAGGGAGUUUAAAGAUCUUGGUGGAGUUGUUUUGGAAGAAAAACCCCUAAACUACUACUUUUCUUGAAGAGUUAAGGUAUUUUGCUUGGAACUCACUCUUUGUCCCUAAUAAUGGUCAAUUGGUGACUUAUGGUAGCUAACUAGGUGAUUUUAUGGAAGAUUUCAUGGAUUAAAGUGGAGUUAGCUAAAUUUCUGAUUUUUUGGAAAUUUUUCUGGUUUCAUAUGAUGGUUAUGGUUAACCUUGGAUUGAUAGCUCUAAAUUGUGUAAAAUAGAGCUUUUGUGCGUUAAUUGUGGUUAUUUGCGGAAAAUUUCCGCUUGUGCGGAAAAUUUCAGAUUUGGGGUUACUAAUUAGGGCUUUCUUAUGGUUGGUUGUUGAGCUUCUAAUUGGCUAUGAUUGAGGGGUAUUGUGACCCUAAUGAAGUGUGUUGAAUGGCUUAUGAAUUGUUUGUGUGCUUGUGGUUGCUUUGGAUGAAUUUCAAGGGUUGUUUGUAGGAUGAAAAAUCUGAAAUUUUAGGGGAAAUGCUGUCCAAAUAUUGAGGAUAUUGGAUUCUUGUGAGUUUAGGUUGAGGUUGGAUAGAAAUGAAAGAUUUUGGGGUUUGUUUCUACUUUUAACUCUAAAUGUUAUGUAUUUUCCAUUUCAAGCUAUAUUUGGUUUUGCCUUAAUAGUUCAUUUAAGGGGUAUUCGAUUCGUGUUCGAGUCUCAAUUGUGCUUUCUUGAUUGUUAUAGGGCGUGCCGGUGAACCGAGGCUUACGUUGGGCGAAAACUUGUGAAAUUGCUUGUUUCAAUUGGUGAGUAUACCUUGUAUGGUUUAAUGCUUAAAUGAUUGUUUAUACUUGAUUCUGUGAACUUGGUUGACUUGAAUGAGACGAGAGUGUACUUCACCGCUCUUGUUCUCUUACUUGUGUGACUACUAUUGUAUUACUGUAAAACUGUACUUGUGCAUGCUUUAAUGUCGAUUGGAGGGUUGUGUCCAACGACUCUAUUGUGAUAUCUGAGCUCUUACCUCAUUGGUCGUUAUUCGGGUCAAGCCGGCAAGGGUUUGGUCGGUUCGAUAACGAACCAUGAGUGACUGUUAGUCGAGUGGAGUGUUAUCUCCUCGACCUUGUGUAUACUCGAGUAUUACCUUUUUGUUGCUGUGAGGUGUUCGGGCCCGGUAAGGGAAAUGUUCGGUGGAAGGAAUGUGGUGUAAAGUGGGAUCUAACUUCAUGUUCUUUACUCCAAACGUUGACGGAGUGUCGACGGGUUUGAGAUCAAGUACGGCAAGUGGAAAGUGGCUAUUGAGAGCCGACCGUAUCCUUUUAACUUGGUUACGUGAUGAAAUUUCUUAUGUGUUCCUUGCCUAAUCAUGUUUAUCCUGGUGUGUCUUGUCGGUACCUCACGAGCGUAAGCUCACUCCAUUACCUUUGUUUUCCUUACAGGGUCAACUUUUGGAAACCAUGAUUUUGGAAGACUGAAUUGAGCUAGUAUAAAUACUUUUUGUAUCGCUCUUCAGGAGUUGGAAAACUCUAAAUGUACCCUGAUCCAAAUAUUUCCCUUUUGCUUUGUAAAUUGCAAACGUAUGUUUAUAACACAGUUUAAUCAUGUUCAUGUAUUAUAUUUGGUUUGGAAUGUUCAUUCUUUAGAAUGAUACCACGUUAUCUGUAUUCGAUUGGGUACCGACUGGAUGGUGACGUGGCAGUCACUAUUCACUUUCAGUGACGAUUUCCGUUUUCAGUUUUGUGAUUGUUGAAUCGUUUAGGAGCGCUAACAUCUAUAUUCCGAACGUUUUGGUUUGUGUAUGACCGUCUUAGUAGUUCUGGCGAGAGUUGGGCAGGCAAUUCGCUAACCCCUUUAGUGCGCCUUAGAGGAAGGCGGGGCUGUCACAGGAUUUUUGGCAAUCCUAAAAGAUAAAUAACAAAGAAAAAUAAAUAAAACAGGAAUACAUAAAAUUUAUAUGAUUCGGUCAAAUAGACCUACGUUCACGGGUGGAGUAAGAGCAAAAUUUUACUAUGAAUAACAGAAUACAAAAAUGUUUUAGACAAGCAUUUUUAAAUCCAAAGCACCUAAUACUUGAAACACAAAAGAACCCAAAAAUAUUUUAUUAAACAAAAAGAUUUAAUGAUUCAAGGCCCAAAAUAACCCACUAAAACUCUCUUAAUUUGAUGCAUCUGAUUCCAUCACAGGUUUAUUAUAUUUAUAGGCAGCUAAAGGAAAGACUCCCUUAUACAAAAGACAGGUGGAACAAAGUCACUUUAACACUUUUUUUUUUUUAUCAAAAAUGCAGAAUUGGCAACAACAAUAAUUACAGUCACGCUUUGAACUUUCUUGCCUGCCCUUACUGUACAUUUUUCUACAAUGCAUGUUUGACGGUUGACAUUUUUUUUUCCAGCAAAAUAGCAUUUUAUCGAUCUGAGCAAAACCGUACAGAAUGUACUUAUUCCCUCAAACAUAUCAAACGUGUAAAACCUUAUCACUGCGUCAUGUGAAACAUAUUUGACCCGUAAAACAUAAUAAACGAUGCCCCAAAAGAAUCAUCCCCACAUAACGAGAGCAAAAUUUCACCAGGUCAGAAUGUAUUAUAGAAAUUUAUCUUAAAAAAUUUACAAUACCAGGUCAAUUUUAUCUUAAAAAUUAUGAGGACUAUUGCCAUCCAAUUGACGUUGACUAACUGCCUGCAGUCACAAACUUACAACAGAUACUAAAUCACUAACUUGAUCACAAUAGUCCAGUCACAAACUUGACAACAGAUACUUGUUUUUUUUAUUAGAGAACGUGAGGAACGUGAGGAGCUAACCAUGUCGAAAUCAAAAUAACACAAUACUAAAUCAAUUUCAUUGGGUGAAGCAACCUCUUAACUACUGUUCUUUCUGGGAAUCAAGAUUUUAAAAGUCAAGAUAUCCUCGAAUUCUUGGAUAAGAUCAACAGUAUUGGUAAUCACCCUUCCGUGUAUGCUUUCUCAUCUAUGUUUCUAGUAACCUCAUUUUCGUUCCUCUGUGAUGACAAGCUGUUCUGGAAAUAAUAAUCAUUUGACCACAUGAUUAAAAAUCACUAAUGCAUUGCCAUAUAAAGUAAUCUCUCACCAUCUUACCUUCAUUUGAUAAUUACAUUUUAUUUCCUAACCAUUCUAAUUUGUAAUUCAAUUUGACUAAUGAGUAUUCAAUGGACACUCGUUAAAAGAAAUUCGUAUUAGUUUUUUGAAAAAAAUAUAGUUUAUUUGUAAAAGUAUAGCAAUUCGAGAUGUGUAAUAUAAGUGUGUAUGCGUAUUUAUAUAGCAAUUUAGGUGUGGUCAUUAGCAAAAUUUUUCCUAAUUAAGCCUUUACUUAGUAACUGGCAUUUCUAGCCAAAUAUAGAUUGCGUGCCAUUAAAAAAUUCUUCAAAGGGCGGUGUGUCUUUUCACACUGACCUUACCAAAGACGCGUCCCAUGAAUACGAGGAGUCAAAUGAAUUUACUUAUGGGGUACGUCACCACAUUUUUAGGCCUAUAAAUAUUAAAUACGAGGAGCCUGGUUCGUUAUUUUGAUGUGCCAAACUCAGCUACCAAGUUUUCGACAGUCACAACCAGUUACAAAUAUCCAUUUUCGUUCAUAUUAAUUAGCUAGCUAGUUCUCCAAGGGAAAAAAUGGCUGAAGCCAAAUCUGCUACUGUCACUGAUCAGGUGAAUAGUGAUUCGAUUGCCUAGCCAUACCUAGAUUUCCUUCUUUUUCAAGUUUGUGUGUGGUUUUGAGAAUCAACUCAUAAACAACUUGUAUUUGGAAAAGUAUGAGGAGUUGCAAAUUAAAGUAAUUUCAACGAUCUUGAAUUAUCUUAAGCAAUAUUUUACAUUUCUAGUUGUCUCCAUACAUAUGGGUAGGCGGUCUCUUGAAUUGUUUGAUUAAGCUUCUUCUGAGUGAUGUAUUUACUUACUGACUGAUCGGAUUUAGUCUUCUAAUUGUAUGUUUAUUUGAAAGCAUUCUAAUUGAUUUUGGGAACUCAAUUGUUUUGCGAUUUUCUUACUGGUUAAAAUGUUUGGGAUUUACAGAUCGACAUCAAUUCAAUACAACCAGUGGCGCCGGCUGACCCUCACGUGGUCGAGAUCGGACAAUUUGUAGUGGAAAAAUUUCACCACGGCAAGCUGCUUUUCAUCGCCGUGCUUGGCGGAUUCACGUGGAAAUGUGAGGGAGGCAAGUACUACGCACUUAUCAUCCAAAAUCAGGAUUAUGAGGGCGCCACAUUUAUCCAUAAAGCACUCGUUGUUGAGGCCAAAGGUGAAACGAAACUCCUCUGGCACAGGAAUUAAUCAAGCAUUACGAUUGAUCAGCUGAGCAUUACUAGUGUCUAUGGUGUGGUUUUCAGUUUAUGCAUGGAUGAUGUACCGCUGUAUUGUACUAGCAUCUUUCCACUAUUGUACUAGUAUGUUAAAUAAGGUGCACUUAUACCAACAAAAUGUACCAUUCCGUCUAUUUUUUAAUUUGUAUCCUUGUAAUUACAUGUAAAAGAUGCACUUUUACGAACAAAAGUGUACCAUUAGAUGAAUAAAAACAAUCGUCUGUUUUUGAGUUUUAUCUGUAUAUUUUGUUUCUAUGUUACUUCCAAGCAAGUUCCGAUCCCUGAAUUUGUAUGUCAACUACGUCCUAUGGUCUUGUUAGAUAUUUGGGUUGUCCUCCUAAAUCUGCUUUUAAUAUGAUAGAAUCUAUUUGUGGUAGAUUUUUUGUGGGGUUCCUCGGACGAGCAAAGGAACACGCCAGUUUCUAACUCGGAAUGGUCCAAGCUAGUUCAUUGAUCCAGCUCCCAGAGUAGAGCUGUCUGGUCCUGCCAUCACCAAACUAAGAACAUGUUUCCUUGAAACGCCCAUAGAGAAUGCUUUCUAGGAUCAACCAAAAAUGAUAAUAAUAACAGUAAAUGUACCUCCAUUUAGCCAUAAAACACGAGGCUUGUUAGAAGGAUUUUCGGACUCCGCAAAAUAGUAGAAGAGAGCUUUACCAGUCUUUGGAUCAACAGUAACAUACCCUGAAUAUUGAUAAAACUUUAACCCUUUUGGUUGCCCCGGCAAUGCCACUACUUUGUCGGCCGCCUGCCAAACCCUCUUGAGGACCAAUAUAAACUGGCGUGUUCUCAUGUCCUGAAUCCUCAUCAUUUACGUAAUUGUCUAGUUGAUGGGUGUCGAAACCACCGAAAACAAAAUUCCUACUCCAAAAAGAUAUACUUUUGAGUACAAUGGUGAGUGGAGUCAAAAAAUAAUAAUGUAAAAUUAAAUAAAAAUAAUUCAAUAAAAGAUAAAUCUCUAGUCAAAAAUCUAAUCACCACUUUAGUUUAAUUAACUAAUCGUUGAUGCAUGGAUAAAAUCAUUUAUUUAUAAAUUAGUUAUGGCUGUCAACAAAUUUUGAGAACCUACCUACCUCUCCUUGCUACCCUCGAUAACCACAGCAAAUUUUGUGAUUAUUACUCUUGCCAAUUAAACAACCCUAGUCUAACUUUUAGGAUUUAACAUAUUGACAACAUUAAUUAUUACAAAAGCUACCCAUAUUGAUAACAUUAAUUAUUACAAAAGUUGCCAGUUCUAACCAAUAAACACAUUGGUUCUGUUUAUUUAGAUUCGAUUAUAUAUUUUCGUGACCUAUAUUAGAAAAUUUUUACUACAAUCAAAGUAUAUCACUUGCCAUAAAUACUAAAACCAUCAAAUAAUUAUAGAUUUGAUGAUUAGAUGCAAUAGAUAUUUCGAUAAUUAAAUAAUGGCCAACUAUUUAAUCAUAUAAAAUAAUCAUAUUAGGAACUUGAGAAGUUCGGUAAAAUUUUCAUUCCCUCAAAGGUUCAAGCCAAAUAAAUUUGAUAAGGAUUUUGAGAAGUUUGCUAAAAUUUUUAAACAAAUGCAUAUUAAUAUCCUUUUUGCCGAUGCUAUUUUCAGAUUCCUUCUUAUGAAAAAUUUCUCAAGGAAAUCAUGAUCCGAAAUAGAAAAUUGGAGGAUUAUGAAGCAAUAGCAUUAACGGAGAAGUGCAGUGUCAUCAUACAAAAUAAGCUACCACCAAAAUUGAAGGAUCCAGGGAAUUUCUUUAUACCAUGCAUGUGAGGACCAGAAAAAAAUUUUAUUUUUUUUAAAUUUUUCUCCUAUUUUUGAAAAAAAUUAAUUUAUAUUUCCUUUUAUUUUACUUUACUUGCUUAUUUACUAGUCUUAAUUUGAUUGUGAUUUUAAAGGUUAAAUUAAGAUUUUUCUUUUUUCCCUUUUAUAAUCUUGAUGUAUGCUAAGUUUCGUAGAGUAUUAUGGUAGUUUAACUGACCAGUGAGAUGUGCGCAUUAUAUUUGGUGGACGAGAAUGGAUGUGAUACUAGAGGAAUUAUGUGAUUAGAAGUGUUAAGAGUGUAUUAGAAGAAUACAAGAUAGAUUGGUUAUAAGAGAAAUACAAGAGAGACAAAGGGAUAGACAUGAAACCAAAGCUCGACAAGUGUCGUGCAUUCAUGAAGUCUUGACCAAGACUUAGACCAAGAGAAGUCUUGUGUUUAUCUUUCAAAAUUGACUCAAAAACCUUCACUUUCUUCUUCGUUGUGGCCGAACUUAAGGGAGAGAGAGAAGAGAGAAAACUUUCAAAAAAUCCUCUUGAUUUCAUUGCUUAAUUUGUGAAAAAAUCGAAGAUCAACCCUAAUCUGCUCCAUAAAACCUUGAGUUAAUCUUGGAAUGAAACUUUUGGUGGAAUCAUUUGAGGAAGAAAGUUCUUAUCUUACAAUUUAUCUUGGGAUUUUGAGGUAUUAUACUAAGAACCUCUCUUUUUCUUUCUUAUUUUGCCAUUUAAGCAACAUAUAACUUGAUUAGGAUGGAUUUCAUAGAAGAAUUCAUGGUUUUGCUUAGUAGGUUGCAAUUUUCAGCUUUAAAGUAUAUUGUUCAGCCUUGAUAUGAAUGGUUUAGUUUUGAUAUGAGGUUGGAUAUAAAAUUUUAGCUUUGUUAUGAGGUUAUCUAGCUUCUAUAUUCGAAUUUCCAGCUUUGAUUUAUAUUUUCCAGCCUUGACUUGAGAGUUUCCAGCUUUGAUGUGGACUUAUGAGUUUGGAUAUGAAGAUAUCUAACUUGAACAUGCACUUCUAGCUUUGUUAUAUGAUUUUUCUAGCUUUAGUGGUCAAUUUCCUGCUUUGAGAUGAAAAAUUUCAGCUUUGGUGUAAGUGAUUUGGAGCUUGAUAUAUAUGUUCAAAGUUGAUAGUUUUGUGGCCUAAAGUAUGCACUAUUUGUCCCCUAUAAUAUGUGGCCUUGAUUGAGAUUCAUUUACCAUGAAACUAGGAUUUGAAUUGGAUGGUUAACUUAAAGAAAUUUGGGGACAUAUUGCUGGAUUUUCUCCUUGUUGGUCAAGUGAGGGUUGAGGCAUAAAUUUAGGGCAUUUUUGUUUUCCUCUUGCAUAUGAUUUUACUCAAAACACUUGUUACAAUCUAUUUCUUUGCAUGUGCAUUAGUUUCGAGCCAAGACAAGAGGUUUAAAUGAAAGGAAAUGAGUUUUAUCAAAUAAUUUUCUAGUUGGACAAUUUCCAACUUUGCACCUUGAAAGUCUUGACAUAAUUUCCUCAAACUUUUGACUAUAAUCGAUGCUUGUGUGCUCCAAAUGACUCUUGAAACAUGGAUUUAGUAUGCACACGAGGUUUUCCCCUUAAUUUGAACAAGAAAAUGUUAUAUUUUUUACUAGUUAUAUGGGGAUAAAACUUGUGAACUAGUGUAUUUUCUAAAUGAAGUUUUGAACCCUCAAUUUCUUCAUUGUAUUUUGACUUUGUUUGCUAGUCUUUUAAUAUAGUGUAUGACUACAGGACUCAAGAAAUUUCAAGAGGACAAACUGCUGUUGAAGUGAAAGAUUACAAUUGAUUGGUUAGUGUUCUUCGCAUGUUGUGCUUUAAAUAACUAUGUGGAAUGUUUGUUUGAAUGUCAAAUACUUUUUAAUGAUUGUUAAAUAGAUUUUCAAUGGGUGAGUGUGUACUUUAUUACACUUAACCCAAAGUGAAAGUGCAUUUUCAAUGAUUGAAUGUUAUUUGUGCAUGAAUGUAAGCCUUUAACUGAAUUGGACCCUUACCCUUCGUUGCCAGUCGACUCGAGUCAGAAGCAGACUCGAUCGGGUGGCUGGUGACCCUAUGACAGUAUUUGGUAUACUCAAGUAUGACCACGAAAUUGGAUGGAGUACUAGCCAGUGAAUGCAAUGCAAUGAUUGAAAUGAAUAACUGAAUAAAAUGAACACUGAAGGAGUUUUCACUUUCAAAUAUUUUUAAAUGUUGGAGGGAUAAGCGAAAUGGAUGAUGAAUGAAUGACCGAAUGAAUGGCUUCAAUUGAGUAGUAUCAUUUCAAUGAUUGAAUGAUUGCUUCGUGAAUGACUUGCUUAUUGUUGUGCAAAGUGUAUAAUUGUCAAUUGUAACAUUUCUGUGCUUUAUCUACCUAACUGCUUGUUUGGGAACCUCACUGGAUUUUUUGCUCAUUCUAUUAGUUUGUUUUCUUUACAGGAGUGGAGGCCGAAACAAGUAAGCGUGAACUAGUGUAGAUAAUCUUCAUGUGCUUGUACAUGAAAAUUAUAAUCUUCAUGUACAAUCUUCAUGUACUAGUGUGUAGAUGGAAUGUAUUUGGGAUAUUUAGUAAUGUAAUCCUAUAUUGCACUUUUAAAUUGUAAAUUAAGUUAGAAUUAUUAGUUGAAUUGGGAACUUUUAUGUUAAUCUAGAGACGUGAAAGAUUAUUUCAAGAAUGUUAGCGAGUGAGUCCUGACGAGAGUUGGGCAGGCGGUCCGCCCAACCCUUGGAUUUGUCCUAGAGAGAGGUGGAGUCGUGAUAGGUGUUGAAUCUGUGCAAUAAUAAUAAAUAAAACCUAACUACCACUUGAAACAGUCAAUAAUCAAUUCUAGUACUGGAGCAGGGACCCUAGGUGUGCAAUGAGUUACUUGAUUCACCUUGUUCCCGAAGAGUUUGCUUAAUCCGAUAUUCCAAAAUUAAUUAUUUAACUGAAUUCACUAACUAGUAGACAGUGGCAAGCAGGGUCGUCUUCUCAGGGACUGGAGAGAAAUUUGUUUCUUUUCGAGUCAAGACAAAUGGGGGUUUUCAGGAUUAAAUGCUAACUAAAUGAAUUAAAUGCAGAAAAUAAUUAAUUAAAAGAAAUAAUUGGGAGAACUCUAGCCAAGGGUACACUUCAGAAAUGGUUCAUGCACUGAUCAUUGAUUCACAUAUAAUUCCAACAUUUAUUAAUAGAUUAGUCAUAGUUGUCAUGCACGCGAUAAACAACCAACCUUUCCUUAAUUUCUCGAUAGUUAAGGCACAACCGUUAACUAUUUCUUUAACCCGGAAACAACCCUAGGUACCACCGUAGGAUUUAAUUUCUAGAUUGCAUUAAUAAUUAGAAAGGCUCAAUCCUAACUAACAAACACACUACGAGAGUUUGUUUAAAUUAGAUUGUAUGUUUCCCUGACAUAAACCCAAUUAUGCCAGUUGCAACUGAGAUGGGGAUAACCGAACAAUUACGGAUUCAAUUACGUCUAAUUAGAAAAAUAGCCUAUGUGAAUAAUUAAUUAUUGCGCACUAAUCAAUCGUACACAAGAGCUAUAACAAUUAAAAGAAGGAAACAUAUAAAUACCAAUAAAUGGAGAAAACAGUUAAAAUAAUUUAGAUCUCACAGGAAUUGUCGAACCAAAUCGUCAGAUGCCCCCUUGACUAGAAAACAAUAUUAGUUACUCUCUAUUGAGAGUAACUCACGCAAUUCCAUUGAAGGAAAUUGCGUUACUGUUUUACAAUAGAAAAAAAAAAACUACUCAGAGGAGAAGAGAGCCAAGCGGCUGCCGUCCUUUUCUUUUCUUAUUCCCUCGCCGGGUAGUAAUCACGCGGGAUCCGGCUUUUUCUCCCUCAAAUCCGUGCAAAGGAAAUCAAAGACAAGAAAAAUUGCUGCUUCCUCUUUUGUCUCCAGCCUCUUGAAAGAGAGCUAAUCUCUCCCGAAUCAUAAUCCCUAUUUUUUCUCCUAAUUGGUUGGUAUCUUGAUACCAAUCAACUUUCUAAAAAGAUUCCUAUCACAAUUUAAUUUCCUAAAAACUCUCCAAAUCAUUUGAGGAUGAUCUCGCUAAAUCGGGAAGGUCCUGAUAGCUAUCAAAUUAUGAAAUUGAUUCAGAUUUGGAGAUUGCCCAAUAUCAAUCCCGACUUUUCAGUUUUGAGCAGUGAACUUAGGCGCGCACCCGUGCAACCAUCAGAUGUUUUUCACUAGAAAAUCUCCAUUUAAUCACAUUUCAUUCCCGCUCCUGAAAUAAGCACAAAAUACCAAAUAUAAGUAGAAUCCGACAAUUAAAAUAAUAUUUGGCUAAAAUCAAGGGGAGAAUAAUUAUAAAUUUAGCAACAAAUUAUGACCUAUCAAUUUCCUCCACACCUAAACCAUACUUGUCCUCAAGCAUGAGAACACAAAUCAAGUAAUCAAAUUCAAACAAUGGUAUUACUCAAAUCUUCCAUUGCCAAGAUAUAAUUAAGACAUAUGUCAAGUAUUAGUGGCAAUUUUCAAGAAAUAUCUCUCCAGUUAGCUUUCAAGAUUAAGGACUCUUUCAAUUUAUGACUAACUAAUUUAAGAUUAUAAAAUAUUCAACCAACAUCCAUAAGCAAAUGGUUCGACUAUUAAGCAAAAUCUCAACAUUAAAAUUCAUGGAUCAGCGGGCUAACAAUUCAUUCAAACACUUCCACAUUUUUCACUAUUAGCACUUUUUUUUCUAAAAUAUCCCCACACUUGAUUGAUUUUUUUUUUCUUUAGGGGGAAUGUUUAGUCUUUAGCUAUUUAAGCGCUUUGACGCGAACUCCGACAUUGGUCAAAUAAAGGAGUCCGGUUACUCAACUUUUAUCGCUAAAGGACCACAUACUCAUAAUUAUCGUCGCUUUUUGACCCGAAAGUCGACACUUGUGGUGAAGACCUCUGGUUACUAGGCAACGACACUAGCGAAGUAUAGCUGAAUACUAUUCAUAAAUAAACACCAAAUUAAAAUUAAAAAUCACACAAACCCGCUUCGUUUCUGAAACACGGAGAACUAAAAUAAUAGCUGAACCAAUUUGCACAAAAAAUGCUAGACAAUAUUUACAAUACUUAGAGAAAUUAACCAAAAAGUGUAAAAGUCACAAAAUCUCAAAUAUUCAUCAAAGAGAUACCCUUAAAUUUAACCAUGUCAUACUUAACACUUUAGAAUGUAAAAUCUCAGCAAUAGAAAAAUUUGAAACAUCUAACCAUCAUUUAUCAGAAACAAUCACAAAUAUGCACAAGAUAGAUAAAAUUUGGAUAAAAUUUGACAAAGUCAAACAAAAAAAAAUUCCAAUAAAAAUGUCUAUACUUGCACUUUUACAAUAAAAUACCAAUAUACUACUCCCCCCACAUCUAAAUCUUACAUUGUCCCCAAUGUAAGAGAUAAAGAAUAGAAUAAGAAACAAAAGGGACAACGAAACUUCCCUGAUCACGCAAUGGAGGGUCUCAAGCAGUUAUGGCAUAGGUGGGAAUGGUCGGUUCUUCCUUUUAUCCUUUGUUUGAGCAAAGAUGAGAACAGGCAGUAAGGGACUGAAGAGAGGGAGAACGCUAGCGGUGAACGAUGGCUAGCAGCGGGGGCUGAACGAAGACGGCGGCUGGAGCGAACUGGGAAGGUGCUCGGUGCGGUGGCGACGGAGCAGCGGCGGACAGUAAAGCGGGCGAAGGCAGCAGCGGGAAAGGGGACAAAAAGGGAAAGAAAGAAAAAGAAAAAAAAAGAGAAGAAAGAAGUAGAACCAUGGGUUUUUUUUUUUUUUUUUUUUAAUAAAGGAACCCCUGUGUCAAGCGUGGGCACACCUAACUGCCUUCGAGUCUUCUGACCAACCAUCCGAAAUUAAGAUCCUUAAGCGUGACCACUUGGCGGGGGCAUGCCUAAUUACUAGAGAGUCUUCUGACCAAUUUUUAAAAAUUGAGUUCCUUAGACGUGGGCACUUGGCGUGGGCACGCCUAACUACUAUAGAGUUUUCUGACCGCAGACGAAAAUUGUCUUCCUUAAGCCUGACCAUCUGGCGUGGGCACGUCUAACUAUUGGAGAGUCUUCUGACCACAGAAAAAUACUUGCAUUCCUCAGGCGUGCCUACUAGACACGGGCACGCCCAACUACCAGCUUCCUGCCACAAAAACAACAAAUCACUAAAUGCAACUAACACUUAACAAAAACUCCAAAAAUAUAAGGAAACUAAAAUAAAGGCCUUGGGUUGCCUCCCAAGUAGCGCCUUUCUUUAAUGUCUUUGGUUAGAUAUUGCCAUGUUUAUUCAUGGGGGAUAAAACCGUGCAACUCGUUUCAGUGCUUCAUCUUCUAUGCAGUGCUGAUAUCUCUCGUAAAUAAAAUAAUCCUUAAACCCACGAGAUAUGGUCUUCCAUGGAUUAGUAGAUGACGCCAAACAAAUAAGUAGUGACCUUAAUUCUUCACUCACUCCUCCAUCACGAGCACUUACUGGUUCGAGAUAUUUUGCCAUUGCAACUCUUAACUUAUUCCUGUCAUGAAACUCAAAAUCUUUUGGUAUAAUAAAAUCAAUUUCACUAACAAGAAUUAAAGAAUAAGAGUUAGGAAAAUAUUUAUUAAGAAAUGGAGGAGAUGUUACCGCCUUUGGAGAUUGUUCACUGGAUUCAUUCACUUGAACCAUUUGACGUUAGGGUCUCAUUUCUUGCACUUUAACUUUCUUUUCAACUGCGUAUUUAGAUCUUUCUUCUUGAGACUCUUGCAGUACCAUGUCAUUCGUCAGGAUAAUUGCACUCUCAUCUUUCUCAUGGUUGAUAAUAGUCUGUGAGGGCAAUUCGUCACACAUUCGAGAAGUCAAUUGCGUUAUCCUAGAUGUCAAUUGAUUCACUUGAUCUGUCAGGUUACGCAUGCUCGCUUGUGUCUCCUGAUAAAAAUUCAUUAUCUCUUGAUGAAAAUUCAUUGUCUCCUGUUGAAGUUGAUGUGUGUUAGAAACUAUUGAUUUUAUCAUUUUUUCAAGAGACAUACCUGACAUGGAUAAUGGCUGUUGAGACUCUUGCUGUUGAAAAUCCAUUGGCCUGGUUGCAUAACUAAAAUUGGAAUCAUCCCACCAUCCUUGAUCAUACCCGUUUGAAUAAGGGUCAUACUACGUUUGAUAUUGAGGUGAAAAUUUUUCAAAAGUAUCGAUUGGAGCACUUAGACCAUCUUAAAAUACAGGGCACAUGUCGGUUGAGUGAUCUAAGGCAAAAUAAGUUCCACAAUUUGCAACAGCCCAUUGAUCAUUAGACAAAAACACGAGUCUCAUAACCCCUUCUAGAAAUAAAAUUCAGUCUAUCACCAAAAUACGUAAUGUUAGCAGCCAUAAACUAUAUAUAAAAAAAAAUAAGAGAACAAUAAAAACAAGAUGAACUAUAAACAAAAUAAAUUAAUCAGGCACUAGUCCCCGACAACGGCGGCAAAAAUUAAUAGGUGCUGAACCUGUGGAAUAAUAAUAAAUAAAACCUAACUACCACUUGAAACAGUCAAUAAUCAAUUCUAGUACUAGAGCAGGGACCCUAGGUGUGCAACGGGUUACUUGAUUCACCCUGUUCCCGAAGAGUUUGCUUAAUCCGAUAUAUUAGAAUUAAUUAUUUAACUGAAUUCACUAACUAGUAGACAAUGGCAAGCAGGAUCGUCUCCUCAAGGACGGGAGAGAAAUUUGUUUCUUUUCGAGUCAAGACAAAUGGGGGUUUUCAGAAUUAAAUGCUAACUAAAUGAAUUAAAUGCAGAAAAUAAUUAAUUAAAAGAAAUAAUUGGGAGAACUCUAGCCAAGAAUACACUUCAGAAAUGGUUCAUGCACUAAUCAUCGAUUCACAUAUAAUUCUAACAUUUAUUAAUAGAUUAGUUAUAGUUGUCAUGCACGCGAUAAACAACCAACAUUUUUUUAAUUUCUCGAUAGUUACGGUACGACCGUUAACUAUUUCUCUAACCCGGUAACAAUUCUAGAUACGAUCGUAAGAUUUAAUUUCUAGAUUGCAUUAAUAAUUAGAAAGCUCCAAUCUUAACUAACAAACACGCUACGAGGGUUUGUUUAAAUUAGAUUGUAUGUUUCCCUGACAUAAACCCAAUUAUGCCAGUUGCUACUGAGAUGGGGAUAAUCGAACAAUUACGGAUUUAAUUACCCCUAAUUAGCAAAAUAGCCUAUGUGAAUAAUUAAUUAUUGCGCACUAAUCAAUCAUACACAAGAACUAUUACAAUUAAAAGCAGGAAACAUAUAAAUACCAAUAAAUGGAGAAAACAGUUAAAAUAAUUUAGAUCUCACAGUAAUUGUCGAACCAAAUCGUCAGAUGCCCAAUUGACAGGUGCCGAACCUGUGCAAUAAUAAUAAAUAAAACCUAACUACCACUUGAAACAGUCAAUAAUCAAUUCUAGUACUGAAGCAGGGACCCUAGGUAUGCAAUGGGUUACUUGAUUCACCCUGUUCCCGAAGAGUUUACUUAAUCUGAUAUACCAGAAUUAAUUAUUUAACUGAAUUCACUAACUAGUAGACAGUGGCAAGCAGGGUCGUCUCCUCAGGGACUGGGGAGAAAUUUGUUUCUUUUCGAGUCAAGACAAAUGGGGGUUUUCAGGAUUAAAUGCUAACUAAAUGAAUUAAAUGCAGAAAAUAAUUAAUUAAAAGAAAUAAUUGGGAGAACUCUAGCCAAGGGUACACUUCAGAAAUGGUUCAUGCACUGAUCAUCGAUUCACAUAUAAUUUCAACAUUUAUUAAUAGAUUAGUUAUAGUUAUCAUGCAUGGGAUAAACAACCAACAUUUUCUUAAUUUCUCGAUAGUUAAGGUACAACCGUUAACUAUUUCUCUAACCCGAAAACAACCCUAGGUACAACCGUAGGAUUUAAUUUCUAAAUUGCAUUAAUAAUUAGAAAGACCCAAUCCUAACUAACAAACAUGCUACGAAAGUUUGUUUAAAUUAGAUUGUAUGUUUCCCUGACAUAAACCCAAUUAUGCCAGUUGCUACUGAGAUGGGGAUAAUCGAACAAUUACAGAUUCAAUUACCCCUAAUUAGCAAAAUAGCCUAUGUGAAUAAUUAAUUAUUAUGCACUAAUCAAUCAUACACAAGAGUUAUAACAGUUAAAAGCAGGAAACAUAUAAAUACCAAUAAAUGGUGAAAACAGUUAAAAUAAUUUAGAUCUCACAAUAAUUAUCGAACCAAAUCGUUAGAUGCCCCCUUGACUAGAAAAUAAGAUUAGUUACUCUCCAUUGAGAGUAACUUACACAAUUCCAUUGAAGGAAAUUGCGUUAAUGUUUUACAAUAGAAAAAAAACUACUCAGAGGAGAAGAGAGCCAAGUGGCUGCCGUGCUUUUCUUUUCUUAUUCCCUCGCCGAGUAGUAAUCACGCGGGAUCCGGCUUUUUCUUCCUCAAAUCCGUGCAAAGGAAAUCAAAGACAAGAAAAAUUGCUGCUUCCUCUUUUGUCUCCAGCCUCUUGAAAGAGAGCUAAUCUCUCCCGAAUCAUAAUCCCUAUUUUUUCUCCUAAUUGGUUGGUAUCUUGAUACCAAUCAACUUCCUAAAAAGAUUCCUAUCACAAUUUAAUUUCCUAAAAACUCUCCAAAUCAUUUGAGGAUGAUCUCGCUAUAUCGGGAAGGUCCUGAUAGCUAUCAAAUUAUGAAAUUGAUUCAGAUUUGGAGAUUGCCCAAUAUCAAUCCCGACUUUUCGGUUUUGAGCAGUGAACUUAGGCGCGCGCUCGUGCAACCAUCAGAUGUUUUUCACUAGAAAAUCUCCAUUUAAUCACUUUUCAUUCCCGCUCCUGAAAUAAGCACAAAAUACCAAAUAUAAGUAGAAUCCGACAAUUAAAAUAAUAUUUGGCUAAAAUCAAGGGAAGAAUAAUUAUAAAUUUAGCAACAAAUUAUAACCUAUCAAGUCGUCACAAUGCAUUAUUGAUAACAUUGAAUUUUUUAAAGUAUUAUGUAACCUUGGUGCUAGUUUAUCAGUAAUUCCUUUAAGAGUGAUUAGACAAUUAGAUUUACAUGAGUUUAAAAGUACUAAUAUUGCUUUGCAGUUAACAGAUAGGUCUAUUAGAUAAUUAUUGGAAGUGUUGGAGAAUGUAUUAAUUAAAGUGUAAAAAGUUAUCAUCUUUAUGAAUUUUGAGGUAUUAGAUAUGAAAAAAAAUGUCUAUAUCAAUUAUUCUUGGCAGACCAUUUUUAGCAGUUGCAGGUACUAUUAAUGAUGUUAAAAAUGACAAACUUAAGUUUCAAGUAUGUAAAGAAGAGAUAGAAUUUAAUUUGAAUGAAAUAAAAAAAAUACCCUUUUUUUACUGAUCAUGCUUGUUCUAUUGGCACAAUUGAUAAGUUAGUCAAAGAGUUGAGUCGAGUGAACUGUGACUUCGACCCUUUUGAGAUUUGUUUGAUGAGUUAAAAAAUGCUAGAGGGAGACUGUGAAGAAAUUAAAGAAUUGGCUAAAUAUUUAGAUUUUCAAAUAGCUUAUAAACGGGAUAAUGUUUAUGAAAAUCUUGAUCAAAGAAAAGGGCCCCCACUAUCCUCGGAGAUUGAAGUCCCAAAUCAUUUAUGGUUUUUGGAGAAAAUAGCACUCUACCGGUAAUUAUUAGUGCUCACUUAGAUGAAGAACAAUGUGCGAAAUUGUUAAGGAUUCUAAGAAAACACAAGAAGUCCGUUGGACAAACAAUUUCGGAUAUCAAAGAUACAAGUCAUUCUAUAUGCAUGCACCGCAUAUUAUUAGAAAAAAAUCGCAAACUGAUGGUGAAAAUGCAAAGAAAACUCAAUCCAAAUAUGAAAGAGAUGUAAGAAAUAAAAUUCUCAAAUGGCUCGAUUCAUGUAUAAUCCUUUUUUUCUCUAAUAGUAUUUGGAUUAGUUCAAUGCAUAUUGUCCCUAAAAAAGAUGAAAAAACUGUAGUCAUGGGUAAAAAUGAUAAAAUGAUUCCAUCUCAAUUCAUGAAUUGGUGGAGAGUGUGUAUAGAUUAUAGAAAAUUAAAUGUGGUUACUAGAAAAAUCACUUUUCCUUAUCUUUUCUUGACCAAUUAUUUGAGCGAAUAGCCGGUUAUGAAUUUUACUGUUUUUCUAAUGAUUUUUCAGAUUAUAACCAAAUAACUAUAAUUCCGGAGGAUCAAGAGUAUACCACAUUUACUUACCCUUAUGGUACCUUUGCCUUUAGAAAGAUGCCAUUUGAUCUAUGCAAAAUCCCUGCUACGUUCCAACAUUACAUGGUGACCAUAGUUUCUAAUUACAUUAAGAAAAUUAUGGUGAUAUUUAUGGAUGAUUUUUUGGUAUUUGGUUCAUCUUUUGGUCAUUAUAUUCAUAAUUUAGAUUUGAUUUUACAGAAAUAUGAUGAGACAAAUCUUGUGCCAAAUUAGGAGAAAUGCCAUUUUAUAGUUCGAGAAAAAAUUGUCAGAAUCAGAUAAAGAUAAUAAUGACGAAACUGCAACCAAACCCGUGAUAGUAGAUCCCUACAAAACAUAUAAACUACCAAAUUUGCAAACUUUCAUGACAAUAAGAGCACCUUUAGAAACCUUCAUAACGUCAUUUUUAACUGUGUAUAUGCACCCAAGAACCUUUAGAGUGUCCAAAGAAAUGAGAUUCUUUUUUCAAAUCAAGAACAUGUCUAAUAUUAGUGAGCGUUCUCAAAAUACCAUAAUGUAUUUUAAUUCAAACUGUACCCUUACCAACAACAUCACAAACAACAUUAUUGCCCAUGAAAACAAUUCCAGCAUUACAAGAUUCAUAAGUGAAAAAUAAAUCCCUAUUGGAACAUAUGUGAUAAGAGCACCCCGAAUCUAAAAUUCAUUCAUUUUUAGACCUUGUCCUAUCAUCAAUCACAAAAUAUUUCUUUCAUUCUCAUCAACUGCAGCACAUGUUUCGACAAUUUAGGUACUUUUUUUCAUUAGGUUUCCCCUUUUACUCUAAUCCUUUCAAUUUAAAGUAAUUUGCAUUAAUGUGUCUCAUUUUGUGACAGUAAUUGCAUUAAAAAUUUUUGCGUUUGGGUUUAGAUCUAAAUUUAGAUCUACUACUGUCAAAUGUUUUUUUAUUGGUUCUGCUCGUAACAACCAGACUUUCCAUCUGAUUUCCAAAUUUCUUUAGUAAUAUCCCUGUCUAUCUGCUCCUUAGAUUUUAAUGUAAAUUUAAUUUCAUGAUACGAAAUUGUUUCUUUUUCAUAAAUCAUAGUAUUGUAAAAAUAUUUAAAAGUGGGAAAGGAAAUACAAAAGUAGCAGGGCUUGAUUUUCAACAUCAAUUUUCAAAUCUAUAUUCUCCAAAUCCAUAAUAAUGGAAUCAAAUUUAUCAAGAUGUGAGAGUAUAGAUGUACUUUCAGUCAUGCGAAAUAUAUACAAAUUUUAUUUUAAAUAAAGCCUAUUCUCAAUUGUUUUCUUCAUGUACAAGGCCUUAAACUUGUCCCACGCGGCCUUUACCGAAAUUUCAGUAGUUAUAUCCCGCAAAAUCUCAUCAAAGAGAUUUAAGAUAAUAUUGGAUCUUAUCUUCUUAUCUAUUUUAGCAAAAUUUAUAUCUGUCACACUCUUUGACUUUUUAUCAAUUUUUUGUAUUUCUAAAUCAACUCCGUCUUGAAUCAAAAUGCUCUCUAUCUUGAGCUGCCAUUUCCCAAAAUUGACAUUCCUGUCAAAUUUUUUGACAAUAGUCUUUGUUAUUAUCAUUGUUGCUACAAAAUUUAAACCCUCUGGAGAAUUUCUGAUAUUAGUUUGUUAGGUUUGGAUCCAAAAAAUUAACGAAAAGGAUUUUUGACAAUCCUAAAAGACAAAUAACAAAGAAAAAUAAAUAAAACAGGAAUACAGAAAAUUUAUAUGAUUCGGUCAAAUAGACCUACGUUCACGGGUGGAGCAAGAGCAAAAUUUUACUAUGAAUAACAGAAUACAAAAAUGUUUUAGACAAGCAUUUUUAAAUCCAAAACACCUAAUACUUGAAACACAAAAGAACCCAAAAAUAUUUUAUUAAACAAAAAGAUUUAAAUGAUUCAAAGGCCCAAAAUAACCCACUAAAACUCUGUUAAUUUGAUUCAUCUAAUUCCAUCACAGGUUCAUUAUAUUUAUAGGCAGCUAAAGGAAAGACUCCCUUAUACCAAAGACAGGUGGAACAAAGUCACUUUAACAUUUUUUUUUUUAUCAAAAAUGCAGAAUUGGCAACAACAAUAAUUACAGUCACGCUUUGUACUUUCUUGCCUGCCCUUACUGUACAUUUUUCUACAAUGCAUGUUUGGCGGUUGACAUUUUUUUUCCAGCAAAAUAGCAUUUUAUCGAUCUGAGCAAAACCGUACAGAAUGUACUUAUUCCCUCAAACAUAUCAAACGUGUAAAACCUUAUCAUAUUUGACCCGUAAAACAUAAUAAACAUGCGUAUACGAAACUAUAAACGAUGUCCCAAAAGAAUUAUCCCCACAUAACGAGAGACAAAUUUCACCCAUUAUAAAACUACUUUCGACGGGGAUUUUUGGUCAGAAUGUAUCAUAGAAAUUUAUAAUUUACAAUACCAGGUCAAUUUUAUCUUAAAAGUUAGGAGGACUAUUGUCAUCCAAUUGACGUUGACUAACUGCCUGCCUUCCAGUCACAAACUGACAACGAUACUAAAUCACAAACUUGACAACAGAUACUUGUUUUUUUUUAUUAGAGAACGUGAGGAACGUGAGGAGCUAACCACGUCGAAAUCAAAAUAACACAAUACUAAAUCAAUUUCAUUGGGCGAAGCAACCUCUUAACUACUGUUCUUUCUGGGAAUCAAGAUUUUAAAAGUCAAGAUAUCCUCGAAUUCUUGGAUAAGAUCAACAGUAUUGGUCAUCACCCUUCCGUGUAUGCUUUUCUCAUCUAUGUUUCUAGUAACCUCAUUUUCGUUCCUCUGCGAUGACAAACUGUUCUGGAAAUAAUAAUCAUUUGACCACAUGAUUAAAAAUCACUAAUGCAUUGCCAUAUAAAGUAAUCUCUCACCAUCUUACCUUCAUUUGAUAAUUACAUUUUAUUUCCUAACCAUUCUAAUUUGUAAUUCAAUUUGACUAAUGAGUAUUCAAUGGACACUCGUUAAAAGAAAUUUGUAUUAAUUUUUUGAAAAAAAUAUACUCCCUCCGUCCCAAAAUAAGGGACGUUUUUGGGGAUUCUAACUUAUUAUGCACAGUUCAAUCAAUUUGAAUGUGAGACAUUGUUUUCCAAUCGUGCCCCUUUGACCGAUAUCAAAUCUUAAUUGCUGUCUAUGGUGAUGUGAAAAGAAUCUGUGGGUCCAUGUAAAAUGUAAGCUCUUUUUCAUGCUGUUGCCAAGCACGCGCCUAUUUAUGGCCAUCAAAAUUUUUGGUGCUGUCCACGCACCUUUUUUUUGGAUGUCUAUGUAUUGCUUUUGUAGUUCCAUCAUACUUGUUUUUUAUUUUAUCAAUGUCUCUUUUGAGGCUACAAAUGGAAUGUUAGAGAAAAAAAUUGUAGUGUGACUCAAAUUUUGGGACAUGAAAAAAGGUGAACUAUGACAAUAACAAUGGGACGGAGGGAGUAGUUUAUUUGUAAAAGUAUAGCAAUUCGAGAUGUGCAAUAUAAGUGUGUAUGCGUAUUUAUGUAGCAAUUUAGGUGUGGUCAUUAGCAAAAUUUUUCCUAAUUAAGCCUUUACUUAGUAACUGGCAUUUCUCGCCAAAUAUAGAUUGCGUGCCAUUAAAAAAUUCUUCAAAGGGCGGUGUGUCUUUUCACACUGACCUUAUCAAAGACGCGUCCCAUGCUGGUCGGCCGUGACUUUGGUGAUUAGGUCCGACAAGUAAUGAAUUUACUUAUGGGGUACGUCACCCCAUUUUUAGGCCUAUAAAUACGAGGAGCCUGUUUCGUUAUUUUGAUGUGCCAAACUCAGCUACAAAGUUUUCGACAGUCACAACCAGUUACAAAUAUCCAUUUUCGUUCAUAUUAAUUAGCUAGCUAGUUCUCCAAGGGAAAAAAUGGCUGAAGCCAAAUCUGCAACUGUUACUGAUCAGGUGAAUAGUGAUUCGAUUGCCUAGCCAUACCUAGAUUUCCUUCUUUUUCAAGUUUGUGUGUGGUUUUGAGAAUCAACUCAUAAACAACUUGUAUUUGGAAAAGUAUGAGGAGUUGCAAGUUAAAGUAAUUUCAACGAUCUUGAAUUGUCUUAUUAACUGAUCGGAUUUAGUCUUCUUCUGAUUGUUUGUUUAUUUGAAGGGAUUCUAAUUGAUUUUGGGAACUCAAUUGUUUUGCGAUUUUCUUACUGGUUAAAAUGUUUGGGAUUUACAGAUCGACAUCAACUCAAUACAACCAGUGGCGCCGGCUGACCCUCACGUGGUCGGGAUCGGACAAUUUGUAGUGGAAAAAUUUCACCACGGCAAGCUGCAUUUCAUCGCCGUGAUUGGCGGAUUCACUUGGAAUUGUGAAGGAGGCAAGUACUACGCACUUAUCAUUCAAAAUCAGGAUUAUGAGGGCGCCACAUUUAUCCAUAAAGCACUCGUUGUUGAGGCCAAAGGUGAAACGAAACUCCUCUGGCACAGGAAUUAAUCAAGCACUACUAUUGAUCAGCUUAUGCAUGGAUGAUGUACCGCUGUAUUGUACUAGCAUCUUUCCACUGUUGUACUAGUAUGUUAAAUAAGGUGCACUUAUACCAACAAAAUGCACCAUUCCGUCUAUUUUUUAAUUUGUAUCCUUGUAAUAACAUGUAAAAGAUGCACUUUUACGAACAAAAAUGUAGCAUUAAAU
rnacentral:lncRNA from 1 species